rnacentral:lncRNA from 1 species
GAGUUUUUGCAGAUUUUCAAAUAAAACUCAAAGAUUCCUUGUAUGACUCUCUAAAUCUCUCUUUUGUGGUAUUUCUGGAUCUUUACCAAGGCAGUGAUGGUAUAUGCCUUCUCUCAAGAUAUAUGGUAUUUGUGGUAUAAGGCAUAGUGACAUUGCCUUCUCUCUCACCCUACUCUAAUAAGGCUUUAAUAUCUGGAGCUCAUAGGUGGGAGACAGCUAAUACAUACUUACAAGACAUUUAUUGCAUAGUCAAACCAUGGAUUCAAAGAAACAAAUCAAUAAGCCAAAUCAAGAUGUGCAUGUGUGGCGAAUGAAUGGUGUAUGGUGAUGAUGGUGAUAACAAUGGUGGUGGAAGUCUAAUUCUACUUUGCUCUUUGAGGGGAUACCUACCUUCCUUGCUUUUGAAACCUUAUGAGGAGAAUGAGAUGCUCUAUAUUUUCUUUUUCUUUCCUCUCAGGUGGGUAUCUUGUACCCCUAAUUCUACUGUCGGACACUUGUCCAUUUUUACCUCUCGUCUCACUCUCUCUUUUUUUUCUUUCGAGGUUCCGAGCACUUGCCCCUUUUUAUUUCCUCAUUUAUUAUUUUUUUUCUCUUUUUUUUAGAGCACUCAUCUCUUGAGAUAAUAUAGCAAGUGGUAGUAGCAAGAUAACUUGAGCAUUUAUUUCACAAGGGAAAAUAGAAAUAUUUUUGGCUAUUCUCUCCCGGAUUAGGAGUAGAAUAUUUUUGGGUGGUUCUGGAGAUGGAUAUAUGUGGAUGGUACUUCCGGAGUAAAGUAGCAUAUAUGAGUGAACGUGCAAGUGAAUCCUGAUUUAACCACAUGACAAGCUCCUACGGGUCUACACAGCUUGACCACACUCAAUGCUCAUAAGCAGUAAAUAAUAAAUGUGUGGCUCAAAGUCUAGCAAGCAUGUAUAUAUGGCUGUGGUAGGAAUUUAAACUUUCAUCAUACAGGAACUCAUCAUGCAAUAUUUUAAAGAUUUUUUCAAAGAUAAAAUUCUCCAGAAUUCUAGCAUCUCUAGGAACAGAUAAAUAGCAGCUCAACCUUCCCAUAUCAUAUCCAUUAACAACUUAGAUUUCAGAUCAAGGUUUCAUCCCACAAGUUUAGAUCUAGAGCAAGCUUUAAAUUAUAACAGUUAUGUCUAAACUUGAGAGAGAACUUCAAAUUUGCAAAUUAGGCAGAGCAACUAUUCAUCAUAUCCAUGCUAGAGUUUUAUUAUUAAGAUUCAGAUUAGCAUAGCCACUUUAUUUAUUUAUUAAACAUACUAAGCAAAAGAUAUAUAUAAAAGCACGAAAUCUUUAAUUGGUUUUUUAUAGUUUAUGUAUUUUAAUAUUCUAAUAUAAUAUAAGUAUAAAGAUAGGUAGAAAUACUUAGCGAGAUAAAUGGGGGUGCUCUCCCCCAAGCUGAAUUUUGACGUAAUUUCUCUUGAUGUAGCUAGCAGGUGGCAGAGGUGUAUUUGAAAGUCAGCAGCAUUCUGACAGCAAUUAGAAUGUCCUCCGUCUGCUAGUCUUCUUAAAUUCUGUGGAGCUCAAAUAGACAACAAAGCUUGUGGAACUAAUUAAGUGUUAGCAUAAAUAUCUAGCCUUCAUCAUGUUGAGCUUCCUCAAUAAAUAUUACUCCCUGUUUUUAUAUUUUUAUUUUAUGAAGCAGAAAAGAAAUAUUUAUUUUAUUUUUAUGCCACCACAGUGAAGGUACUUAUGGGUUUUAUGCCACGCGUAUACUCACAUGGGGCUUAGUAUUUUUUAACAUUUUUAUUUUAUUUUCAAGAUAGCAUGAUUAACUAAUAAUCUAUUUAAGGAAAGUAAAUAAUUAAAGGGAAAAGGGAAUGCAGAAAGGAUAAAUAUGGAUAACUACCGAUCUUACCUUUCGGCGAUGGUUCAAUGUUUUAAGUCUUCUUAACAAGACUUCUCACCGUAUUCAUUCUUUAGGUGCGUCAUUUGAUUCAGGUGCGGACCUUGACGUCUGCACCUCUUGAUACGGUGUCACCCAUGUUCUUCGUUUGCCCAGCAGUUCGAAGUGCGGCGUUGGCAGUAACCUGCUCAGUGUGUUUGUGCUCGUAGAUCCAGGUCCUUCACUUGGUAGAGUCUGAGAGUUAUAAAACUCCUCCGUGUUUUGCUCAAAGUGUACCUGCUCAUAGAGACAAGGCAUAGAUCAAGUGCAUGGGUCCUGUUGGUGGAAAACACCAACAGAACCUAAAGUGUAUUUGUUCUUCUCUAACCCUAAGCAUAGUGAGCAAGACAAAGUUGAUGGAUGAAAAGUUCAUGAGUGUAGCACUUAUAACAUUUGUCAGAUCAGAUCGCUCAACCUUAUGGAAAGAUAAUCUAUCUAUGUAUAUGUCUUUUUCUUUAUAUCUCUCAAUGAUUGAAUGUGUAACAUUUUAGCUCAUAUGAUUAGGAGUGUGGGAUCAUGGAGGUAGUACUAAGAACAAGGAUUAAAGGACUAAAUAUGUUGAAUCAGUUGGGUUGGUUAAUCUAGAGUUGUAAAUCAUACAUGUUUGUCUCUUUUAUUUAUAUGAACGCCAGAACUAAGGAGAAGCUUAUAAAAGUGAUAGUCAAGUACCUUAAGAUGUUACCUUGCUUGAAGAGUGAUGGUAUAGUAUCACCUUGUGGAAGCUUUUCUUUCUUAGCGGUUGUGCAUCGUGUUUGUGGCACCCUCCAUGGAUCAUCUCUCUAUGAUGAAUGAGCUAUGUCCUUCUUAUGCAAAUUGUUAAACUUCAUGUGUCACUCUCUUCGUCUCUGAUGUGAGUUUAUAUCAGGACUUCCCAAAUCGAUAUUGAAAGUUUUUCUGCAGGGGUUAGUCCGACAAAAUAUACCAAUGUCUACACAAGCAGUUUUUAGUUCAAUAACCGAACUAGACUCCAUGUCUAAUCAGAUUAAGGAAGGCUGUUUAACCUAAGCACCAUGCUUAAUUUAAAAGCCAAUAGAAGUAUGUGCAGUACUUCCAAACUAACACUUACUAGUAAAUAGACAAAGGUAGCAUGACAGCAUUUAUAGAGAUCAACUCAAGUGGAGAUGAAGUAGUGUGAUUAGUAUUUAACAAAUUGAGCAUGUCUUAAAGGUAGGGACAACCAAUAUAGCAACAUGGCAAAGGAUGUUUUUAUGUAAAGUACUCCCCCAAGCUUGAAUUUUGCAGAAUUCAAGUUUGGAUGAAUUUAAUUCAAUGUUGUAUGAUGAUUGGUUGGACAUACCAUGUGCUUGUCAUUCAUCCGAUCUUCUUGCUCCAAUCCUGUAAAGGUUAGUGACAAGAAUACCCGAAGGAAUAUUUUUACAAUUAUCCUUAUAUGCUCAAUACAUAAGGUAAUGUUGCAAAUAAUUAAAAACUCAUGUUACGAUCUGAUCAGUGUUUAUUUUAGGACACUAAGCUUGUCCUUGGGAAACCAUCAAUUUAUGUCGGCGAAGUGGUUUCCCUUCCAACGCUGACCUAAAUCAAGAUCAACUCAACGAGAUCUGCAAUAUUUAUUAUAGACAUAUGCAUCGACAACCGCCCUUUUAAAUUUUUUAUAAAUAGAAAGGAAGAAGGGGUUGGAGAUCUCAAAUGUGGUGAUGUUGGAGAGACCAAAAGAUUGGGAAGAUGUUGCAUAUGAGCAUGGAGUAAACAAAGUGGCUAUUAAAUAAAUUUCAUGCUCAUUAAUGUUAUCUUCGUCUCCAAUAUAAAUGUUUAGAGUUCCUCUUGGAUUGGUCUCACUUAUGUGCUCUUCUAUAGUUGGAUGAAUCCCAUCUUCAAAGGGAGUCAAGAACUCACCAUUUGAAAUUGAACCAAAGUCAGAAUUCAUUAAGGCUUCUUCCAUAUCCAUCCAUUCUACACAUUCUAGCCAUUUAGAACUUGUGAUCAGGAAAGGGGAGGUGUUAGAAUUUUCAAUAUGGCUUAGCUCUCCUUUACUUGAUGUGUCAUCCUCGACUUCUUCAUAACAGGAACCAGGACAUUCUCUAAGAGAACCAUUAUUGCGAGGAUUUGAAUUAUCCCUGCUUGAAGGUCUCUUAUGGAACCAGAAGUCUAAACCAUUAGCAUCUGAAAGAUUUAUGGUCGGAAUUCCUUCCUCCCUUGGAGAAUUUUGGGGUACUGAUGGUUUAGGAUCGAUAGCUAAAGUUUGGAAUCGAAGUGGUUGUGAUCUGGCUAUCAAAACUUCUUCUUCUUGUCUAGGAACUGGUUCUGUCUCUUUCUCAGGGAUAUAAAAGCUAGGAGACUUUCCACUUAAUAAAUCAAUCAAAUUCCAAGCCUCACUAGCACGUAGGUGAUAGAAGGAUCCUCUAGAGGCUGUAUUCAAGGUUUGCUUAUUUUCCCCACUAAGGCCCUCAAAAAAGUGAAUUAGAAGAACUUCUUCUGGAAUAGAAAGCUUUGGGCCAGUGAGAGUAAGGUUAAUAAAGCGGUCCCAUGAUUUGCUAAUAGAUUCUUCUUCCAGUUGUCUGAAAGAAAUAAUCUCACGCCGAAGUUCUGCCACUUUAGAGAUUGGAAAAUAUUUUAAAAGAAAACUAUUAUGUAACUCCUUCCAAUCUCCAUGAACACUCCCUACUUUGAGUUUGUACCAAUGUCUAGCUUUUCCCGUUAAAGAGAAUGGAAAGAGCUUCCAUUUAAGUGUCUCAUCGGACAUUCCUUCUAUGCGAAGGAGGUCACAGACUCGAUAAAACUCUCUUAGGUGGGUGUAUGGGUUUUCCUCACUUUCUCCUGAGAAAGGUUGUUUUUGAACAAAUUCUAUGUAUUCGGGGUCUAUCUCAAAACUAGAUGCUAUGAUAGGCUUUGAAGAUUUUGGUGGUUCGAGAUGUGUGCCCGUAGGUCUAUGAAAUUCAUAGAUAGACAUGUUUGAAUUCAUGAUAGACCAGAGAUCAAGGAUUAGAUAAGAAGAAAGAUGAGCAGAGAUGAGGCAAAGGAUAAAAGGAAAAUAUAUAUUUUUUUUAUUUUUUUUAGAAAAUGAUUAAGCUAGUUCGUAGUCCACUCAGCAACCGUUUCCCUAGCAACGGCGCCAAAAAUGCUUGUUGACACUUGCUAACACCACUUGAAUACUAGGUUGUCAUCCCCAGUAUGGCACUAGAGUGUACUAUGGUAUUUAUACGCACACAGAUAAUCCGCAAGCGCACGGAUACCGUUAUAGCUUUUACCCGGUUAAAGGUUUUAUCGUAUCCACAGGGAAACGGGAGAACCAACUACGCUCUAACUCAACCAGGAUAGAUAGGUAAGUGUAAAUAGGAAAGAUGGUAGAAUCGAAUAAGAACAAUAUUAAAGGUAAGAUAACAGUGAGUGAUAAUAUGGGAAUAGAGAAUAGAGCAAUUCUAGUAUAUGGGCGAUGGUAGCAGAAUAGAGAGGAUAACUAUGGUUUCUCUACUUCAAAGGGGUAUGUCUAUGUCUGGGACGAACCACGUGAUAAGGGUACACCACAAAGGAUGCUUAUCCUUAGGCCGAUAAACCCUACCCAUCCUACUAACGAGAGGUGGACUACAGAGGACCAACGUAACUGUCACCUACGCGGCCUACCACACGAUCCAGCUAGACAGGGGAUAUCCACAAGUAAUCUAGGUCUAAGCAUCACACUUACACCAAUACUACAACUCUCACCUAUAGCGUCCUAUAGAUUAAAGUACUCAAAAGAGUUGUGAACCAGAACAUACAUAAUUAGUAAUUGCAUAAUGAAUUAGAAGUAGAUUACCAGAGUCAUCCCAUGAGCAAGCUUGAUUAGAGCUUGAUCAUGACGAAGUACAACCGGAGGAAGAACCGACAGGCCGGCCUCUCCUCUAAUCCUCCUUCGCUCUCCAUCUUGCUACUAUCUAGAUCUACUCUAGUUUAGAGAAGAGAGGAGAGCUCUCAUCUCUAAACCCUAGCUUUUGCUCUGUCUAUGAAUAAUGAAUAAUGAUCAAGGGGUGCCUCCUCCAGGGGCCAGAGGGUCUGGUUAUAUAGUCCCCUCAAGUGAACCCGAGCCGUCGGAUCAAACCGACAUUGAUUGAACGGUUAUUCUUGAUCCUUUAGGUCGGUGGAGAUCUCCCGAGAGAAAGAGUCCUGAUUGGGCUCCAAGUCAGGGCGGGCGCCUAGGGCAGGAGGGCGGGCGCCCUGCCUCUGGCCCCGUUCGGCCUCCGCUUCCUUCCCGUGGCUUCUGGAGUCUUCUAGAUGUAAGAUAAUUGCGCGGCACGUUAAUAUCUCUAUGUAAUCCCGACGUGUUGGCCUUUCUUCCUUAUUUCCUGAUAACCCCCUGCAGAAAUAGACAAACAACAAAACUCGUGGAAUUCUGUCAGAUAAAACCCUAAGUUUAGAUGUUGAUUUCAUUUGGAUCCUUUUCUUUGUUUAUUUGAUAAUUAAAUUUGAUACUUAAGGACCGUCAACAGUAAUCAAUAGUGAUGAUUGUUAAUCCCUUCCCAGUGGUAAAAAUAUAAAUAACGAUACCUAGAAUACUUCCCGGUUAAAAUGCUACAUCGGUAUUAAUCUGUGCGCUUGCAGAUCCCAUUCCUUAUUUAUUUAGAAGAGCAAUUGCAUAUUUCAAUACCGCGUCUCUCAUGUCAUGCUGGGGAUGACAACUUGGCUUAAGUAGUAUGAGGGAUAGGUUUGGCAUUUUUGGCACCGUUACUAGAAUUAGAAAACUUAGUCUACUUUUGGUAAUGAUGUUAAGAAUACCCAACAUGUACUAAUUAAGAUUCAAGAUCCCCCAAAGAUAACUAUAUAAUUAUUUUUGGUGGGAAGAUAGGAAGUUUCCUCAGAGUUCUCUAGCUGAUCUAAGAAUCAAGAAUUACUUCAAGAUUAUUUAUUUUGGGACAUCAGAACACUAACCAGAGAAAGAGAUGAGAAGGGGGUUAGGAGCUCUGACUACCGUCCUACAAACACCGAUCCGAACGAGGUGGGAUAUGUCGACCGUUAGGGCUGUCUCUACCCUAAGGCUACCACAACAAUCCAUAGGGUUGGGUGCAAUUCUAGGUAAUUGCAAGACUAAACACCACGUCUAAUCUAUUAAUUACUACUCUAGCGUUAUAAACACUAGAGCACUUGAUGCAAGUGGGAAUCGAGUAAAUAACUUGAAUGUAAAUAAAAGUAAUUAAAGAACUCAGGAAUUAUGAAUUGAAGAACUUGGAGAACGAUGAAGAACGAACCAGUUGCAACAAAAGUAUAAUGUUGAGGGAAAUCUGACAGAUCUGGCUCCUCCUCCGCUCUCCUCUUCUCUCUCCCUAUUUUCUAGAUUACAACUAGAACUAACUAGAACUAGAACUAGAUGAACUAGAACUAGAUGAACUAGACGGAUCCUCACUACUUGGAUGAAUAAUUGAAACCCUAACUUUGUUUCUGUAGAAGAGAUAUGCUCUCCAGGGGCUAGGGGGUCUGCUUAUAUAGUCUUUCCAAAUGAAUGUGGGCCGUCGGAUCAAACCGACAUUAAUCGCACGGUUUUCCUUGAUCCCUAAGGUCGGUGGAGCAUGAUCCACGAAGUUGACCCUGAUUGGGCACUACAAGAGGGCGGGCGCCCUGGGCCAGGCCCCGUACUGCCUCCGCUUCGUUCCCAUGGCUUCUAGAGUCUUCUAGAUGAUAGAAAAUUGCCGCACACGUUAAUAUCUCUAUGUAAACCCGACGUGUGGGCCUUUCCUCCAUAUUUCCUGAUAACCCCCUGCAGAAACAGACAAACACCAAAACUCGUGGAAUUCUGUCAGAUAAAACCCUAAGUCUGGGUUUUGGUUGCAUUUGGAUCCUUUUCCAUGAUUAGUUGACGGUUAAAUGUGAUCAUUAAGGACCGUCAACAGUUGCAUUUGGAUCCUUUUCUUUGUUUAUUUGAUAAUUAAAUUUGGUAUUUAAGGACCGUCAACAACUCCACCAAGCUUACCUCUUGCUUGUCCCUGAGCAAGGAUGGACUCAAGAGUUUCUGCAGUGGUUUCAUGCCUUAAAGGUACACAUGUGUUCAAAUAAGAUCUCAUCUCUGGGUUAGGGUAAACUGUUAAAACUUAAAACUUACUCAUUUUACCUUCCACCAUGGGGCUUGCAACCGUCACUUGUGUCUUGAGCAGUUAAAAGAUAGAACGGUCUAGUCAAGUGCCAUGUCACUUGUGUCUGGAGUUUUUGUAGAUUUUCAAAUAAAACUAAGAGAUUCCUUGUAUGACUCUCUCAAUUCUCUCUUUUGUGGUAUUUCUGGAUCCUCACCAAGGCAGUGAUGAUAUAUGCCUUCUCUCAAAGUAUGUAGUAUUUGUGGUAUGAGGCAUAGUGACAUUGCCUUCUCUCUCAUCCUACUCUAAUAAGGCUUUGAUAUCUGGAGCUCAUAGGUGGGAGACAGCUAAUACAUACUUACAAGACAUUUAUUGCAUAGUCAAACCAUGGAUCUAGAAGAACAAGUCAAUAAGUCAAAUCAAGAUGUGCUUGUGUGGUGAAUGAAUGGUGUAUGGUGAUGAUGGUGAAAACAAUGGUGAAAGUCUAAUUCUACUUUUGCUCUUUUGAGGGGAUACAUACCUUUCUUGCACUUUGAAGCUUUUUGAGGAGAAUGAGAUGCUCUAUAUUUCCUUUUUCUUUUCUCUCAGGUGGGUAUCUUGUACCCCUAAGAGGUGGCAGAGGCAGUUGCAGCAGCGGCUGGGGCAGCUGAGACGGGUGGACGUUCCGGCCCUGAGGAUUGGGGUCGAUCUCACGCCACGUCAGAGGCAUGCAGUUCUUGAGGCAGAGGCUCUACAUGGAUCUCCUCCUGGCACUAUCAUUCCAGGAGGUUAGCGUGUCAGGAUUGCAGUCCGCGACCCAGCUCAGGAGGACCCGGACACAGAGACAGAGGCAGAGGCCCAGGCAGAGGGUCCGACAGAGGCACCGCAGCAGGAGCAGCCCCUUAGGAGGUCGACUCGCGCUCGUACUCAGGCCAUCCCUCGGACUGGUACGCAGGGUCAGUCUACCUCCGCUGCUCGCUCUACUCUAGCUCGAGGCACUCCAGCUCCUCGUCAUGCACCAGUGAGGAUACACAGGGACUACACCCAGGUUUUAGCUCGAGAGAUCCAGCAACUACAUUUUGUUCCCUUUCCCACUUGGUUUCCAACUACUAGGGAUCCGAGAGCCAGUGCCAGGUUCUAUACAGUGGUUCAGGAGGACAUCUAUGAGGCUCUCGUUCGCUCACAGGCUCAGUUCAGGGAGCACAAGGUGCUUGAUCUUGAGAUUCUAGGGAACGUGGUCGGUGCGGACAUCAGGCAGUACUUCACCUAUCUACACGGUCUCCUAUAGUUGCUCGCCUUGCCUGGUACUUAUUGUGAGGAGUGGGUCAGAGAGUUCUAUGCCUCAGUGUGGGUUUCACCUGAUCACAGCUAUAUCCAUUAUGCAUUGGCAGGAACAACCUAUAGGGUGAUAGCUCAGAGUGCUAGAGAGGUCCUUGGUUUGAGAGCCUACCCCACCAGGAUUCACCAGCUGUGCUACGAAAACUUCGAGCCCCCUCGAGGUCCUCACGGUGGUGAGAUACCACCGGUUGACUUUGUGGCUCCCUGUUUCCUUCAGCCUUUUGGAGAGGGCUCUAGCAGGACAGUGGGAGAUUUGACUCACCCAGCUAGGAUCCUCAACUUUGUGUUGAGGAAGACGCUCUUUCCCAGGAUAGGCUACAAGGACGGCUUCACCAGGAUCCAGCAGUGGUUGGUAGCCCACCUCAUCUCGAAGACUCCUUUUGACUUGUGGGAUAUGAUAGUCUCAGUGAUUGAGGAUACUAUUUCAGAGAGCUUCAGGGGUCGGCGUCAGGUGCUGUACGCACACUGGAUCACCUUGCUCAUCCUUCGUGCUAGGCCCGUACCUCUUCCAGCUCACCUGCAAAGAGAAUUGUCAGACUCAGACAUGGUGUUCCCCCACUAUGACCCCAGGCAGAUGCUGAGAGCAGACUAUGACCUUCGAGCUCCGCCACCUCCUCCAGCAGCACGUGGCCAGGUGCCACCACCCUCUCCUAGAGGUAGUCGCAGUUCAGGAAUAGUUCUAGAGACUGAGGAGGAGUAGGACAUAGCUAUUGGGGCACCGAUGCGGAGGCCGAGGAGGAGGUUGACUUCGCUUUAGACAGCUCAGACGAUGAUUAUCAUCUCCCAGUACCAGACCUUCCUCCUAGGCCGCACGACCACGAGGCAGGAGGCUCCUCGAGUGCGUCAGACCCUGCUCUACUUGCUAUACUAGAGGGGAUGAGAGCCGAUCAGCGGCGGGCAGCUGAGGAGCAGGCGAGGAGAGACAGGGAUGAGGCUGCCAUCAAUGCAGCCAUGCAGGCAAGGCAGGACGAGCUUCAGAGACAGCUUUUGACCUUUCAAGAGCAGCAGCUUGCAUUCCAGGCUCAGCAGAUAGCGAUGAUGGCCGCUCUUAUGGCCGCCUCAGGGAUUCAGCUUCCACAGUUUCAGCACCCAGGUACUUCGUCUGUCAGGCCUCCUACCCCAGCACCUCAGAGUCAGUCUCAGCAGCCGCUUCAGCUCCUCGCUCAGAAUCAGCUGUUCUCGACGCCACAGCACCAGGUUUCCCAGGGUGCUAUCUCGUCUGGCUUUGAGCAGGUACCACAGUUUACGCCUCUACGCUCUGGUUUCACACCUUAGUCAGCGACAGCGUCACAGCUCGUGUUGGACUCGUCGGCGGGCCAGCACAUCAGUUUCUCGUACAGUGCUCUGACUGGUGACCCUACGCCUCCACCCCUAUAGGCUCCUGCAGCUUUUACGGUCCCAGUUACCACCACAGAGCGCCUGUCAUCGUCGGUAGCUUUAUCUGAGCCGCUUGCACCUUCGUCUACUGUACCCGAGAUGUCAGCUACAGCGACCGAGUCCGUGCCAACCUCGUCAGUAGGACUUGAGCAGCCCACAUAGCCUGUGACAGCUUCAGCGCCUACAGAGCUAACCCAGACCGCUUCACUAGCACGUGCAGCUUCAGAGGGACUCCACUGCUCCGCCUCCAUCUCUGUCUUCUUAGGUUUUUGGUGCUUGAUGCCAAAGGGGGAGAGAGUUGUGAGUAUGAGAGUUAGGGGGAGCUAGAGCUAGAGAGCUAGAGAGGGCUUUAUUCUUUUGAUACUCUUUUGUGUGCUACUCCACCAUGCAUCAUGUUUAUGUUUAUGCAUUGCAUUUGUGUGAGAUACUUUCAUGCUUGUGACAUACACUUUGGUUGUGAGUCAUGACCUUAUGCUUAUUUGUGACAUCUUUAUGUCAUGCUUUUGGCUCAUAUUGCUUUGCUUCCGUGUUUUUACUCCGAUGUACUAUGAGCCGUUUGUGUUUAUAUCCUGUUGUACACAUCUCACAUAUUUGGAUGCAGGAUGGUAGACUUGGUUGAUAUAACCAUCCCUAAUCCCGUUGCUCUUAUUGUAUCAUGCUUAUAGAAACCAAGUCAUUUGAAAACCUCAUUUCCUUUCAUACUCGAGGUUAUUGUCAUCAAUCACCAAAAAGGGAGAGAUUGAAAGAGCAUUUCGGUGAUUAGGGAUGGCCCCUAGUGAUUUCGGUGAUUAAUGACAUCGUUGAUUACUAUGACUAACGUAAGUUUUGCAGAGGCAAAGUCAUUAGUGAGGUCAUGGUAAUAGGUACUCGAUGAACAGGGACAUACAUGCCUUCUUAGUAGUGGAAAUCGUUUCGGUUUUCAAAGGAUGGAUGGACAUUGUCAAGACUAGACUAGGUCUAAGUGCGAUAUGGUGAAGAAGGGCACUUAGAGUAGUUUAGGACUUUGUUUUCCUUUGACCAUGCUAUUAAGAGGGUCUUUGAUCUAGUAGCUUGACUUAGGCAAGGCUUUAGGUUUAGGUGUGGUGCACACUUGGUAAACCUAGCACUAGGCAGCUCAGAGAUAGUCCUUAGAUCGAGAGGAACCAACUUCGUUUUGGAGCGAUCGUGUUUCGAUGAAGUUAGGGUGCCUAAGUAGGCACCGGACGCUGCACCGGACGCUCUGUGAGUGCGUCCGGUGAGGUCCUUAGCCAUUGGAGGGUUUCAGAGCUUAGGGUUAGGCACCAGACGCUGGCACCAGACUCACCGGGCAGCGUCCGGUCCCAUACCCAGGGAGGUUGCAAACCUGCCCCGAGCACCGGACGCUAGCACCGGACGCACCGGGUAGUGUCCGGUCUUAAACUCAGGGAGUUUGUAAAACUUCCCGGAGCACCAGACGGUGCCACCGGACUCUAGCAAGUAGCGUCCGGUGACCUGUCAUAUCAAGUACAGUUAGCCAUUGAAGUGUCACCGGACGCUCGGUGCAGAGCGUCCGAUGCAACAUCAACAGUGUCCGGUGACCCCAUUUUCAGUGGAAAACGGUUGGUUGACCUUUGGACUUCAUGGGGUGUAUUUAUACUCCUCCACCUCGUCCAUGAGAGCUCUCUUUGCCCAUUUGAACAUCAGAGAAACUUGUUUUGGAGCAAGAGAGUAGCAAGAGCCUAGAGAGGAUUGAGAUUUGAGUGAUUUUUUGAGAGAAUCCUUCUCUAGUUGAAUUCCAAGAGUCAAGUGUGCAUCCACCACUCUCUAGUGCCUCGUUUGGGUCAAGUGAGAGUUCUUUGCUUGUUACUCUUGGUGAUCGCAAUCACCUAGACGGUUUGGUGUUGAUUGGAGGCACGAAGACCACCCGGAGUUCUUGUUGGUGGCUCGUGUCAAGCUUGUGAGCGGUUUUGGGCGAUUCACCGCGACGAAGUGUCGAAGAAUCAGCCUAUAGAGAGCACUUGGUCCUCGCGCGGACCAAGGGGGAGCAAGACCCUUGCGCGGGUGCUCCAACGAGGACUAGUGGAGAGUGGCGACUCUCCGAUACCUCGGCAAAACAUCACCGAGCACUUUGUUCCACUACUACUUUACAUUCUAGCAUUUACUUUGUGUUUUUACAUUCAUAGAAUUGCCAUGCUAGAAUAGGAUUGGAACUAGGUUGCAAAACUUUUAUCUAGUAGCUCUCUAGUCACACUAGGCACAAGAGGUUGAAUUGGAGCUUAUAGGUUGCUUAAUUUUUUAGAGAAGCCCAAUUCACCCCCCCCCUCUUUGGCAUCUUGAUCCUUUCAGACCCUGGCACUAUGUGACUACGCCACCUCCUACUAGGCUCGAGGACUAAGUGGGCGCACUUCACCUUACGGUGAAUAUGCUUGCUUUUUUAUGGUCUAUACUUUUCAGAAAAGUAAAGUGGGCGCACUUCACCGGGAAAGAAAUCUUUUUGCUGAAGAGCACCAUGCAUUAUUCGAACAACCUACUUCUUCGGUGUCGACAUUGAUCAGCUGUCAACUAUUUAGGUGUUUUUCCGACUGGUCGGAGACAUCAAGCCUCACUGGUCGAAGAAGCUCAAGACGACGUGUUACAUCAUAAUACAUGGAGCUCGGGGACUAGUUGUGGGGGUAUAAACCCCUGUAUCCUCAUGGGUCGACAUGGGCCGCACCAUGAGAGGUGGCCCGGCCCACAAGAUGAAGACAUGUGGCGCAUGACGCUGGUCGGCUUGCACCGCAAGGCUACAAGAUAUUGUACCAUAUAGGAUACUUUACUUGUAACUCUGUCCCUUCAUGAUAUAUAAGGAGGGGCAGGAGUCCCCUAGUGGACAAGUCAUAAACAAUUCAACUCAUCCCAGAUCAAUACAAUCAGACGCAGGACAUAGGUAUUACACCCAUACGGCAGCCGAACCUGGAUAAAAACCUUGCCUGUGUCUUCCAUCACCAUCGAGUUCGUAGCUCGCGCACCUAUCUGAUGAUAAACUAGUACUGUGGGCAUACCCCAAGAUAGACUGCUGACUAGCAUUGGUUGAUAGUGUAGGACCUAGUGCAGCAGCCAAAAAUGGUGAUGGCGGACGAGGCUGCGGCUGCAAUGAGCAAGUACCCAGCCGAGCGCCGAGGAUGCUGUUGAUGCAAAAAUGGAUGUGCAAACACAAAGGGCUAAUACCCGAUUCAAACGUUGAGGCGUGCCAGCCGAUUUGACCUAGCAAUCGAUAAAGGUGAUAACUUGAAUACUUUGGUCCCAACAACAGCGAUGCGCCCGGAUGCCACGGCCAAGAGGUACUCACGUGGAACUUGAGAAUUCACCGAGUAUUACUUGAUGAAUCCUUAAGAACUCGUAAACAAAAGAAAAUAUGUGAGUUGACGAAGUUGACGAAAAGUAGUUGUAAAAAUAGAUGUAUAACUUGUGUAUAAUAUUGAUUGAUUGUCCUUCUUAUAUCGCUACUAGGCCCAUAUUUAUACUCUGUCCUAAAUAGUUACAAUCGUAUACGACUAGGAUUUAAUUCUAAACCAAACAGGACUCGUACAUAAAACAAACUCUAACAAAUAAGGAAAAUAACUAUCUAUCUAUCCUGGUAAUCAGCGUAUCACCGUUGUCUUCCUAGCGACGCCUACGCCUUCCUGCAUCGUCAUCAGCACACGCCCUGUAUCUCUUUUAACAAUUCCCAUACCUUUCCUCAUCGGCAUCGGCAAUCAGCAAUUGGCAAUGAUCAGCAACUACCGCCAGACUUAGCAACAUCUUCCUCCUGUUGUCCUGUCAUCGGCAUUAUUGGCUAUCGGCAAUCUCCUUAUCAGCCAGACAUAUCAUCUCUUUGACUGUUGUCAUCGGCAUUAUUGGCUAUCGGCAAUCUCCUUAUCAGCCAGACAUAUCAUCUCUUUGACUGUCGAUUCAAGCUUCACUGACUAUCCCAACUUGUGCCCAAAAACGGUGUCAACACAUGCCCCCCAAUUUUGGAGUAUGAAAUCAUUAAUGCACCAAAAUUCUCUCCUGAUAAUGACGACUUCUUCAUAAUUAUUUCCUUUUGGCAACAAUUAAUUACCAAAUCCAAACAACCUUAAUUCUAACUUGCAUAUCUCAAUAAAUAUCUCACAUCCCUUAACCAUCCGAAAACAAAUCUCAUAGAAACACGCUCAUCAGCAACUGUUCUAUUAGGGUUGACUGCAGAUGGACCAACCAAAAGAUCAUGUACAGUGGAAUAUCUCCUAAAAUGAUGAUUACUUGCUGUCAAAUCACAUAUACAAUCCCUUGAUUAUUGUGCUAACAGUUACCAUAUCCAUCUGAACAACCUCAAAUUUCACGGAUACGGCAAAGAGAUAAGUCAAAAAAUACCCCUGCUCAUUCCAACCUAUAAAUACUUCCUUCCCCAGUACUCAUCCUCUACCUUGUCAUUCCUCAUUCUCAAGUUCAUCUCCCCGACGGCGGCAUUGACGAAGAGCUCAAGAUCUUUAGCAGUGAAAAAUCUCUCCUAUGGCAAAGUCCUCCUAGAACCUUCAAAUCUUCGGUUCUUCCUUCUCUUUAGGAGGAAAUGGUCGUCAACUUCGUUGUUCCUGAGGUUUAAUCCAUUCCCAUCCUCUCUUUCUUUCACUGCAAUCUUUACUUUUUUGCAAUUUUAUUUACUUAGCAUUUUCUCCCCAUUUUUCCUGUUCUUUUGAUCUCCAAACUCCAGGAUCUAAGUGAGAAAAUUAUUAUUCCAACUGAACAACCCCACCUCCAAUGUCUCGGUCCAAUGGGUGAUCCAGACCCCACUGAUCUGAUCAACGCAGAAACAAAUAGGAUUCCCUUUAGAGCCGAGAACUUCUCUCUAGAUCUAUGAAAGGACACUUUCUGAUCCUAGCCAAAUCCCACUAAAGGAUGAGAAGAUUGGUUCUUGAGAGUCAGUAAGACAAAUGAAACAUACUGGGGGAACGCAAAUUAGACCAAUGCAUUAGACUCUCCAUUGCCAAAAUGGAGAAGAACGAGUCGAUGGUAAUAGCAUCUUCGUAUUUUUGGUCAGACACCUUCAAUGCUUUUAUCUUUGGUCACGGCCCAGCUUCCCCCGCAGUUGCUGAUGUUGUCAUGAUUACUGGAUUGGAAAUUGCAACUGCCGAUGAUGGCGGUAUCUUUAACCGCAAAACCGAAUAUAAAGUAGAAACCCGCAACAUCGGCGGGUGGUUAGGAUAUGUCUAAAAAUAUUGGCAAACUGGAUCGGUCGGCCAGAGAGAGCACGCCAUCAUUCUGAAUAUGUGGUUAGACAAGUUCAUCUUCUGUGGUCGAUCGAUAGGGCCAACCUCUGUUUACUUAUCGGCAGCAGAGCGACUAGCUAAUGGUAACCGAUUCCCCCUUGGCUGAUAUUUGCUAGGUUCUGUCUAUCACCUCCUCCACCAAGUAGUCGAGAAACUCUUGCUCGGUGAACCCAUCGACAACCUGGGAGGUCCUUGGUGGUUUAUUAAUUUGUGGCUCAACGGUCAUAUGCAUAAGGGCCUCCGGUGGGAUUUCUUCGCGCAGCAAUUCCCACAAGACAUCUGUAACAGAACCGUCCAAUUUAUAAGAAUUCAAGUGAAUUAGCGACCACGGAGGCAGUCAAGCCAAUGGACUUGAACCCAUAUAAACCCGGUAGUCCGACGAAAUCUCAAAAGACCUCGAUUCAACCAACAUACAACCAAGAUCGUACAUGAUCAAGCAUCGCCACCACAGAUUACAUACAUUCAUCACAGAACAUAGUUUUACAUCACAUCAGAGUUUAAAAGAGGUUAUUACAAACCAGCUUAGUAGCGGAAACAAAGUAGUUUGAAAACAUCACACACUCAGUUUAAAUUGCAUGCCAGCUCCAUGGUCAAACCCAACAAAAGCACAACUAAAGAUAGAGAAGGUGAUCACGCCCAUGAUCUACUCAUCGUCCGCAGCCGGAUGAUGACAGUUAGCACAGUAGCCGUGAUAAACAACAUCAUCUGCAACAAGGGUAAAUAAAACCCUGAGUACGAGAAUGUACUUAGUUAGACUUACCCGUCAUAAACCAAAAAUAAAGUGACACCAAGGAGUAUGCAAGGCUGAUCUUUGUGGACUAGUUUGACUCACCCUUUUGCAUAAAAAGCUUUAGUUGUAAGUAACCCAUUUAUAAUAUUUCAGCAGCAGGUUCAUUACUUUAACAACUAACCACUAGAUUAGCACCUGUUCUAAGCAUACACUUGAGUAUUUAAGCAUCACAAUAAUAACCAUAUCUAGAUUAUCACUUAGCUAUCAUCGUUCUCAUCAUAAACAUCAAGCUUAUUUAGUGAGUUCUACGUUGACACUGCCCGAGUCAAGUUCUCACUAUCCAGGAGAGACGGCGAUUCGAAUCGAUUCCUAUCCAGCUGGAGGGGUAUUCUUAGCACUCACCCAAGCAUACUUCAUGAGGGCAGCUCGGAUCACCUUUAGCACAACUCCGGACCAAUUCGCGGGUCCGUCCAGCGCCGCACCCCUAGGGACCGCCAAUCUGCCAGGGUCAGGAUUCUAACCUGACACCUCGGACUUACGCCAUUGACUCCCCGCACAUACUUACUACCAACUGGGGUGCGCACUCAUAUAGAACGGGGUAUCCGGCCUGAGUUGCACACAUAGGCUUCGCGGUCGGAAUAACUUAUCCGGCCAGCUAAGUGUUAGGCAUGCGUUCAACAUGACACGAGGACGCACAACGAAUCGGUCCUUAACCGACACGGACGGGGAUAGAUUCACACCCAAGACCUCCAUGCCUUGCUGCUGCACUAUCAUCAUCCCGCCCGGUCUCAUGUUCAUUAUUAGCACAUGGUUAUUUCCACGAUAGCAAAUAUAGCCAACCGUGAGGAAGUAUCCACCUAUCUCUCGCAGGUGACAGACAAUCACCCGGCUUCUACCGAGCUAAGCAUGGCUAAGCAUCAUUCGAUCCUGGACCUACUUAGAUAAGGUAUGAGGUGGACAAGGUAGUCAUUAUGCAGCAAGGGUGUCAUAUCAACGCCUAACACUUAAUGCGACAAUACAUAACCAUAACCAAUUGAUAGCUGGACAUGAUAACAAAAUAGUAGGAGUCUUAUAAUGCUCCGGGGCUUGCCUUCAAUGUAAGUAGAGGGACGAUGGUCAGGGCACUCCGGCAGAUCCCCCUCCUCAGCUCCUCGAGGUAGCUCCCCUUGUUCAUCUUCCGGCUCCGGCAGCUCGAACUCCAAAACUGUCACUCCCUUGGGUACACCUAUGUAUGCAUGACAAGGCGAUAAACAUAGGGAAUGCACAUAAAAUGCAUAAUGUUAUGAUGACCAGCCAAAGGGACAAGGAACAUGGUGCGAACAUGAGCAUAAGCUUCCAAUCAUCAAGAGAAUCAUGUACAACAAGCUAGUGCAUACUUCUUCUCUGGUAGAGAGGCUAACUAGACAAGCUAAUCAACCCUAGCUACUCAUACUUAGUCACUGGUCUCAUGGACAGAUUAACUAGUCUCAAGAUUCAGCAAUGACUUAAGCAUCAGUUGGCCAAACUAAACAAAUAGAUACUUUAUGGAAAGGUUAGUAAAUUGUCUACAAUUCACUUUUAGACAUCCCAGAAUAAUUCCCAACCGAAAUAUGCUAAAACAUACAAAGUUGGCUGGCUGUCCUGGAAAAUCCAGAGAGCAAACAUUUUGCAGCAGCUAUUUGUAACAUGCAUAACUUUUAAACUACUCAACCAAAUGUCAUGAAACUGGAACACGAAGUAGAUAAGAAAGUUAGCUACAGUUUGUUAUAGACAAGUUUCCCAGAAAACAUCAUCUUCAAUUAGUUCAUAAGCAAUUGCUAUCAGCUACACAGAAUUGCUCUAGGAAAGGCAUAAAUAGCAAAAAUAAUAUUUUGCACAUAACAAGAAUGUAUCAAAGGGUCAAUCCAAAUGCAGCAGUAGAUAGAACAUGCCUAAGAAACACUAGAAAACAUCAUGGCAAGGUCUAAACUCAUUUCUAUCAUCACCUUUUUCAUUUAUUUAAUUAUUAAGGUGAUUUAAUGAACAUGCAUCCCAAUGCUCCAAGAAUACUAGGAAAAUUACAGCAAGCUACUUAUGCUAACACAAGGUUACUGUAAAAUUUUCAGGGCACUUGCACAUACAGAUUGUGAGAUACAAAAAUAAUAAACUAGCAAAGGCAUGCAAGGCAUAAAUGUGAAACCCUACCAAAAAGUGUCAAACAACAGAUUUUAGAUUUUUCCUAGUUUUGUUUACACAUGAGUACAACACUCAGCAAGUUUCACCACAAAAGGAGUUAUAACUUAUUUAUUAAAAAUACCACAAGAAACUCCUGUUUGAACAAGAAAUAUUUAUAACUUCACAAUCAGGCAUCCAAAAAUCAUGAUAAAUUUAUCAGAGCCUAUUCAUGUCAUAAGUAACCAUACCCUAAAUUUGCAUGGCCAUCAGAUCAACAGAUCUCCAGAUAUAAUUACCUCCUUUUAAAUCAAGAUUAAAUUAUAUCUAUUUAUUUCUAAAAAACAUAGUAUGUUUCAUAUUUUUAAUAAAAACUAGAUUACCACAAGAACCUAGCAAAAUUGGAACCACACCAUUUGGAUCUGUAAAACACAAGAUAUGAAUUUUUUCAAAAACAGCAAACGAUCUGCUACACAGUGACCAGAGAUGUGUGAGAGAGAGAGACUGACAGGUGGGAUCCGCUGACACACGGGACCCACGCGACAGAGAGACAGAGACAGGAGAGACGCUCGUCGCCGGCGAAACUCGACGACAGCGAGGUCUCGAUUGGAUCCAAGGGCAUCUACGUGUUCCUCUCCUCAAGGCAGACUCGGUGACCUACUUUACCCGCGCUCUACUGGACCCUAGGGUGCUCGCCGUCGUGAAUGGCGGCUCGGCGGCGCUGCGGGCGAUACGCCGGCGUGCACUGCCGAUGCCGUCCCGGUUGAUGUUCACGCCGAGCAUCAAUGAGCCAAGGGAAAGCGAUAGGAACAAGAAUGGAGAGAAAUGGUGGAGCAGAGAGGCCUGGCCACGUCGCCGGUGAGCUCGGGCGAAACUCCGGCGAGGGAGAAUGGCUCGGAGCUCGGCAAUGCCGCCUUACCCGUGCUCGACAGUGGCCAAGGGGGUGACGCCGAGGUAGAGGAAGCUCUGGCGAAGCUUUUGGUGGGCUGGCUUGGCCGGAGACGGCGAGGGAAGCUCGAGCGAAGCUGCCGUUCCGCGGCGGAGCUCGCCGAAGCGAAAUGGAGAAGGGAGAGAGCGCUGGGGAGGCGAAAUGAGGACGGCCGAGGCUCGGGGUGGCGUCGUGGCGUCCAAGUGAAGGCGUCGGGGCUGACAGGCGGGGUCGCCGUUGACGUACAGCCACCACGGGUCGUCCACGCGUCGGCCGGCUGGUGACUGACGAAACUGAAUCGCGCGAUUCAGUCGUCGCCGACAGUGACUGAAACCCGAUGUUCAUCGACGUUUUACUCUCAGCUCACUCGGUGGUUUUGGCACAAACUUGAUCCUUUGGAUAGAGCUACACGAGUUCUACAAGAUUGCUUACAGGAUCAAAAUCUAAUUCGGCCUGGAUUUCAUUCUACAAAGCUCCCAAGUACCCUACCUCGAAACUGCGUUGCCUCAGACUUAGGAAAAAUUUGGCUAAGUGUAGAAUCAGCCCUGAUUUUUGCCUUGUGAGCUAAAUUUGAUUCUGUUCCAAGCAUUUUCAUGAAAAGUCAUCAACAUAACUUUUGUAGCAUAUAAAAUUUACUACAGCUUUGCUUUAGAUGUCAUUUACAUGCAAGGUAUCUAACACCAGUUUCAUAAAACACCUUUGAAAAGAGGUCUAGGGGGUCAACUAGGUCAAUCUAGGGUUAACCAUGGCUUAGGGGCAUUUUUGGCCAAAACAUCCAACAUGAACUUUGUUCAAAAAGUUAUUCUAAACAUGACUAAAGUAUUUUGGAAGAUAAUGUACACUUGCAUGCAUUUGUCACCCAUUACAUUCAACCAUAGCAAGUCAUAUAGCAAUUCAAUCACAUAGUGUAUGUAACAAAUGGCAUGUGAUCAUGGUAUGAUGCUCAUGAGUGAUCAUGAUGAUGCUUAUGUUGAUGCAAUGCUCAUGGUUAACAUGCAAGCUAACACUAGGAGUGUUACAGCCCUCCCCCCUUACAAAAAUCUCGUCCCGAGAUUUAAAAGACAUACCAUUUUUCAUAGAAUGAGGGAUAAGUUACUUGUAAAUAGUCUUCCUGUCGCACCCGGUUUUCCAAGGAAGACCAAGCGCUAACUAUAUGUGUGCCCAGGAUGUCCACACGACACAUAUAGCGACAAAUAUGGAGAAUAUCAAGAACAAUGCUUUAUUAUAUAUCGGAACAUAGUUACAACAAUGCUUACAUCAUAACAAAGCAUAGCGGAAACUAAUCCUAAUCUUCACUUUGGGUCUCCAUUUUCCACAGGGACGGUUGACUGGGGGUACACUCGCCUAGUACUCCUGGAACAUCUCAGGGAACUCCACCUUUGUAUCACCAUCUAGUACCCAUCCGGGAUUUUUGAUUGUUGAAUGUAAAGCAAGUAUGAGCGCACCAUACUCAACAAGUAUAACAUGAGGGGAUGCAAGGCUCAAAAGGCUUGACUUGGUUUGACUGCGAUAAGCAUUUUUAGUUGGUCAUAUUUUAUUAUUAGACCUAUGUUGCUAGGUUAUGCUUAAGCUCCCAAGGUGACAACUAUAAUUAUCAUCAAAAUUAAUCAUCAACCCAAACCAUCCAUUGAACCAUCUAUCUCGAAAAGGAUCCAGGUCGCUCUUGACCGAGAGCACGGCUGAUAUAUCAGUUUUUAUAACUCUGCAGAGUGUGUACAUCUUUACCCAUGAGUCGUGAUUGCCCUUUGCCUGAGGGGGCCAACCUCUUGACUCACUUCCAAGGUAAGUCGGCAGGGAUCACUACGUAACCUUUCACUAGACACCCUAACUAGUUAGUGGCCGCGAGGUUUCAGUGGCAAGUGUGCAUAGAGACCUCCUCCAAGAGGCACAUGUGGUCGCGGCACUGUACACACCAAGGUAGGGGCAAAACUAUACACCACGAGGCACCCCCCUCUUGCGCCUUUCGGUAACCACUAACAAGCUAGAGACAUACUAGAUACUUGAUUAAGAUCAGAGCCAUGUGAUUCUCAUGGUUGUACUGUAAGUCCUGGGUUGCCGCUUUAAGAUUCAGUCCUUACGGAGGGCAGACUAGAGCACCCAAAAAGGCCCAAUGCUCUAGCCCCCUGAUAUCCAUGUUGCUAGAAAGCAUCAUUAUAAUAUUGAUUCCAUAAUCAUUAAUCAGUAUUAGUAUUAUACAGUUUGGUGAUUGCAGACUAAGCAAACUACCCAUAUGCAUAACCCCAGGGUAAACAAGGAUACAAGAUACAAUAGUUCUAGGUAAAGUCCUUAUGGGUUUAUCAUAUUAGACACAUGCACAUGAAGAGGUGAUUAAAUAGUUAUUAGGUAACAAGGGAACUCAUGUUACACUUGCCUUCAACUGUUGCUUAAACUUAUCCAACUUCUUCAUCAUCCUUGUAGAGCUCCUCUUCUAACGAUAGCAACAACGAUCGCAAGCAUCAUAGACAAGCCUAAAAACAGUACAUCAAUCAUUGUAAAAAAAGUUUUAGAACACUAGGGCCUGUAACUACGAUCGUUGAGCGCAAAAACAACUAAGUGAAACUACUAUAAAAGGGUGUGAAGGAUUGAAGGUUGAAGUUAGAGGUUCGGUAAAUUAUACGAAUGGAAUGAACAUGAUCGAUUUAGUGCUAGCUUGGAAAGAUUUAUAGAUCACAAGGAUUUAUAGACGAAUUAUUGAUGACUAUGGAGUUGUGUAUAAUGAGUUGUAUAGAACAUAGUGAAGCGAAUAUAAGAUGGUACAAGCAUUAGAUUGCAUAAGAGGGACUGAUUGUUCUAACAUGGAUGAGAGAGUGCUUCCGGAUAUGUUCGGUGAUGAAUUGGAAACACAUCGUGACAAAUGUGUGCAAAACGGUGGAUGCUAGGUCAACAUGAAGUGCUUCUAGUAUAUUCCCACCAAAAUAUGGAGCUGCACCAAAGGUAUAGUAAGUACACUUGAUGAAAAUGUAUGCACCUGAUAUACACACCAUCAUGUAAGUGGACUUGGUGAUUUAUAUAGGGGUUUAGCGGGGAACACGAUAAAACACCGAUCAAUCCAUAACGUGGAUGUCGGCAGAUUGUGGGAGUUAUGAUCAGCGGUUGUAUGGUUAUCACCAAACCAAAAGGUGAUCCAUUUUGCGGGGAUGCUGGGUACUCUAUGAGGUAUGUUUUGGCAAGAGGGCAUGUCAUUUUGUGUAACAGUUGGUUCGGAAAACAUGAUCAUAAAACAGAUGUGAUGCCGAUAGAUGGACUGCAAGAGUGGCAGUGACAGUGGCAUUUAUAUCUCGGCCACCGUGGCACUCAUGGACAUACCAAAUUGCAGAAUCGUAUGCAAGGUUAAGGGGCACAAGAUGGUCAAAGGGUUUGAGGAUUGGGCUUUUAGAUUAAUGGGGAACUCCAAUACAAUUCGAAUCAGCCUAGCUGCCAGGACUGCAGGGAUAGCGCUCACGAAGAUGAUGAUAUAUUUGGUGUCUCAACUCCUAUGACAAAACUGUCCUACAGAGGUGUGCUCAGGGAUGAUAUCUACUCUGUGGUAAAAGGGUUUGACUAUGUGAUGAACGGUUAAUGGGGAAUAACACUGCCACUGAGAUGCAUUGCUGUUGAACAAACGAGACAGCGGGCACGAAAAAGAUUAUAUCUCUUUCAUGUUUGAUCCUAUAGCCAUGAAACUUUGCAAAGACAUGUGUGAGAAUGGUAUUUACUCUUAUGGUGAAAGGGUUUGAUGAUUGGGAUCACAGUUUUCUGAGGAAAGCCAAAACAAUUUAGUGCUGCGUGGCUGCUAGGAUAGCAGGGAUAGUGAGUGUGAAAACUGACCCAAAACACCAUCUCUAUUGAUCGGAUGGGUGACCAACUUUGCAUAACCAUGUACAAGUAUGUGAUACAUGUGUGGGUCGAAAGAAAUUUGUAUUGGAUUGGUAAAACAACAGGAACAUACAUGCCAAUCAGCAGCAGCGUGACUACGUGGCUGCAUAGGCAGCAAGCAUGAGAAAAUGAUUACUCUUUUUGUUUGGAUGAUAUGGCCAUGGGAUUUUUAUGGAGACAUGUGCAGAUAUAUGAUACACACAUGGAUUAAAGGAAUUGCAAAACAGAGAUGCAAAUUGCCAGGAACAUGCUAGAUAACCAGCAGCAACACUGCUGUCCACGAUAGACAACAAUACGUUCUUAGCCAAAACUGCACUACAAAUCUAUCCACUUGAAUUAAGAUGAAAAAACUUUGAUAUAGUUCAACAUAUAAGAUAGAGGGAAAUGUGUGGUUCUCACAUUGGGGUUAGGAACAGUUGGAGAUGAACGUGAUGGCAGCGGUCAGUGUCAAUGACAGGUGAAGACAAUGUUGGCGAUCAAUGGAGCAGUGGUAUAUUCGCUUUGGGGGAUCAUCCAUGCCUCACAAUAGAUCAAAGAGAUGCAUGAGUGGGGAAUAUGAAACAAGAUCACAGAGGGGAGAGGGAAGGGCGACCUCACCAUGGUCUGCACAAGAGCAGCAGCGAUGACGGUCGAUGAGUUUCUGCUGCAGGUUCUGGGAGAUGGGAAAAGACAUUGGGGUGACCUCCAUGAAGCGCUGCAGCACCAUGGCGUCCUCAAGCAAGAUGUGAAGAAUUCCAUGACUCCGAUGAUGGGAAGAAACGUGCAGCAGCAAAACAAAAAUGUUGCUGAGAGGGCAGUGCAUUUUGAUGGAGAGGUUGGAGAGGGAUUUGGAGGGGAGAGGAGUGGCCAUCCAUGGUGAAGGAAAUGGAAGGAGAAGAGGCGGUGGCUGCUGUUUUUUUUUUGUGGAGAGAAAGGAGGGAGAGUUGGAGCUGCAGCCAUGGGGAAAAGAGAGGAGGAGGGGCGCCCAACUGAUGGAGGAAGAGGAGGAGAUGGGAUGCUCCUUCUCUGGUGCUUGCGUGAGGGAGAGAGGAGGAGAUGAGGGGGGAUUUUAUAGCUGCUGCAGCUGCAUGUGUCCAUGCCAUUGAAGUGAAAUAAAAAGGCAGUGAAAAAAAAUAUGUGCUAUCAAGAGGGUUUUGAAGAAGGGUCUUGCUGGUUGUGCGUGGGAAAAGAGAGGAGAUAUGGCUGUGAAUGUAUGCAUGCAAUUGAAGAGGAGUCAAGAGAGGCUAGGUGAUUAAGGAAGAGCAUUAUGUAUUGCCUUUUUAUUUCUGCAUGAGAGUGAGACAAUGGUGGCAUAGGAGAGGGGAAGAGGGGCUGUCCAUCUGCAGUGUGCGUGAAGGAGAAAUGGAGGAGGAAAUAAAGCUGUUGUUGUGCAUGAGGAAGAGGAAAAUAUAUGGCUGCUAUUUCCUGCAUGGAUGCAUGCAAAUGAAGAGAGUAAAACCCAUAGAGUAAAUAGGUGCUAUUGAAAUCAGGUGUGUGUCUCAUGGGAAUCAAAGGAGAGCAUUAUUUGUAGUAGUUGUUUUGCAUGGGAAGAGAGUGGCAGCUCCUGUGUGUGUCGAGCAUAAAAGAAAUAAGGGAGAAAGGGUGAUGGAUGGCUGUUUCAUGAGCCCUUCAUUACUCAUGCAAUUAGAGAGUUGCAUUGGAGAAUAAGAGGGGCUUGUAAAGGUAAUUAAGUGGGAACAUUUGCUGCAGUUUUCUGCAUGAGAGAAAAGGAAGAUGCGCCAUUGGGAGGAGAAGUGAUGACCUGCUCAUGUGAGCAAGGGGGAGGAGAUAUUGCUGGUUGUAAUUUUCUGCAUGCAUGCAAAUGAAACAAUGGAGUAAAGCAAUUGAAAUAAUAGAGGUGAGUCAAUAGGAGAAUGAAUGGGUGCACAUUAAUAUUGAGCAGGAGGAGAAGGGAGAGGCGCCCUUGGCAGUAAGGGAGGAGGAAGAGAAGAUGUAUGGCUACCUGUUGCAUGCACACUGAUGGGAUAAAGGAUACUCAAAGGAGAGGAUUAAACAAAGGUGUUACCAUUGUAAUUUAAGGGGAAGAAUUAGUUGUUGUUGUUCUCUUGCAUGAGAGAAAAAGGAGUAAACGUGGGGGUAGCCAGAGCAUAGAUGGCUGCAUGCCAUUGGAAGUAAAGGAAAACAAAUGAAGGAGUGAAGUGUGUCUAAAAAAAAAUAAAAAGAAAGAAUUAUUGAGCAGUCGCCAUAGAGAUGAGAAGGGUGAUUUCUCCACAUGAAAGAGACAAAGUAAUCAAGGGGCUAAAGAGUUAAAUGCUGCUGUUAUUUUACAUGAAGGAUAGGUGUCAUGAGGAAAAGAGAAAGAGAUUCACGGCUGCCAUUACAUACAACUGGUGAGAUGGGAUAAAGAUAUACUUGAUGGAGUCAAGGAAAUUAAUAGAGGAAUUAUCUUUGCAUGGAGAAGAGAGGAAGUGUUGGUGUAGCUGCAAAAGUUAAUUGUCCAUGCAUGGUGCUUUCCAUAUGCAGUCCUAAGAUUAUUAGUGAAUUGAAAAGGAGGAAUUAAGGAGGAAUUAGUUGACGAAGUUUGUGCAUGUAGGAAAAGAUCAGGUGCUGCCCAAGGGGAUGACGACACAUAGAUGUGAGGAGGGCUUCUAUUUUCCUUUUUACAUAAAAGAGAAGUAGAGAAUCGUGCAUGAGGUGGGAGAGAAAGAUGGAUGUUUUGGGCUGGUUUGGACUUGAUCCAAAGCAAGACAGGGAACUUGGCUUGAUCAAAGUGAUGGCAGAAUUGUGUAAACAAGGUGGUCAUAUAAUUUAGAUUUAAGGGGUUGGGAGGACUUGAUCAAAAACAAGUAGGAGUCCAAAAAAAGGAAGAGGAAAGCGAGAGAGGGAGAGGGUUAGGCUAGGGAUUUAGUUUGUGGACAAAAGAUUUGAUUAGAACUUUUAGAUAUUGGUUUGAUGUUUGGAAAGAUGAAGUUGGGAUAAACCCAAGGCAUAUCUUGAAAACAAACAAAAUUUAUUUUUCAAGCAUAAACACUAUGCAACGGCAUGAAUGCAACAAACCACUAAGUUGAUUUACAAAAGUUUUAGAAACCCACAUUUUUUACUAUCUAAAAUGUUGUCAACAUAAAUAAAGUUGGAACAUUUUAUAAAAAAAAUUCUUUGUCUUUGUUUUUAGUGUUUUCUAAGUCAUGUCCCAAAGUUAGAAUUUUGGGGUGUGACACUUCCCUUUCCCAAGUGGCAUCUCUCUCACUUUGACGGUUCCACAAAACUCUAAAGAGUUUAAUCACUCUCCCACGCGUAACUCUUUCCUUGACGUCAAGAACUUGUACAGGCUUCUCUUCAUAGGAUAGAUCAGAUUGCAACUUGAGAUCUCUCGUUUCAACUCUCUCUUCGGGCACACGGAGACACUUCUUGAGUUGAGACACAUGGAAUACAGGGAAAAUGGUUCCUAGUUCUGGAGGUAGUUGUACCUUGUAAGCUACCUUGCCGCUCUUCUCAAUGAUUUGGUAGGGACCCACAUACCUCGGGGCAAGCUUUCUUUUUACCCCAAAGCGAUUUACACCCUUCAUGGGCGAUACCUUGAGAUACACAAAGUCACCUACUUCAAACUCGAGUGGUUUUCUUCUUCGGUCAGCAUAGCUUUUCUGUCUAGCCUGGGCAGCUUUCAUGUGUUGCUGGAUAAUGAGAACUUGCUCUUCGGCUUCUUUGACAAAGUCAAUUCCGUAGUACCUCCUUUCGCUAGGUUCGACCCAGUUUAGAGGAGUUCUACAUUUGUGGCCAUACAAAGCUUCGAAAGGAGCCAUUUGGAUAGUCUCUUGAUAACUAUUGUUGUAAGAGAACUCAGCUAAGGGUAGCCAUUUCUCCCAGGCACCCUUGGCAGAUAUGACACAUGCCCUCAACAUAUCUUCUAAGAUUUGAUUUACACGCUCAGUCUGAACGGAGGUUUGAGGGUGGUAGGCUGAACUGCGAACCAAUUUUGUACCAAGGAGUGAAUGCAAAUGCUCCCAAAAGCGGGCAGUGAACUUAGGACCCCUAUCAGAAAUAAUGGUGCGAGGCACUCCGUGCAAUUUAACAAUCUGAGAGAAGUAUAACUCAGCGUAGUCGGAUAUUCGGUGUGUCGACUUCAUAGGGGUAAAAUGGGCUGACUUGGUCAAACGGUCAACAAUCACCCAUAUGGAGUCGUGUCCCUUUUGGGUAGGGGGAAGGCCAACAAUGAAAUCCAUGCUAAUUUCUUCCCAUUUCCAACCCGGAACCGACAAAGGUUGCAAUAAACAUGCAGGUUUGAGGUGAACUGCUUUUACCCUGCAUCAAGUAUCGCACCUAGCAACAUAAGCUGCUAUCUCCUUCUUCAUCUUGGUCCACCAGAAACGAGGCUUUAAGUCUUGGUACAUUUUGAUACUACCAGGAUGAAUGGACAACUUGGAAGAAUGAGCUUCAUCUAAAAUUUUGUUGCGUAGGUCACGGUCUUUAGGUACAACUAGUCGAUCGUCAAACCAUAGUACACCCUUCUCAUCUACCCUGAAAUGCUUGGUGUCUUGCUCUUGCAUUUUUCUCUUGAUAUGGAAAAUACCAAGAUCAGACUUUUGGAGCUCUAUAAUUUGACUUUCUAGCGAAUAGCUGACUACAUUGUUGUGUAGGACCGCCGGGUGCAAUAAAUUGAACCCUUCCUCUAAGAGAGGUCCAACAUGUUGUUUCCGGCUAACAGCGUCGACUACAACAUUGGCCUUGCCCGAAUGAUAGUCUACUUCUAGAUUGUAGUCUUUUAUCAACUCCAACCAUCUUCUUUGUCUCAUGUUUAUCUCGGGCUGAGUGAAUAUAUAUUUGAGGCUCUUAUAGUCAGUGUAAAUGUGACAUAGAUUACCCAACAGAUAAUGCCUCCAGAGUUUCAAUGCGUGUACAACAGCUGCUAACUCUAGAUCAUGAGUCGGGUAGUUGGCUUCUUGUUUCCUCAGUUGCCGAGAAGCAUAGGCAAUGACUUAGCCUUCUUGCAUAAGUACACAACCUAAGCCCGUGCCAGAUGCAUCACAAAAGACAUCAAAUGGCUUUUCGAUGUCAGGCUGUGCCAGAACAGGAGCGGUGGUCAGCAAAUGGCGUAAUGUGGUGAAAGCGACUUCACACUCCUGGGACCACACAAACUUCACAUCUUUUUGCAGUAGCUUGGUCAUAGGCUUAGCUAUUUUGGAGAAGUCCGGAAUAAAGCGACGAUAAUAUCCAGCUAGACCAAGAAAACUCCGAACCUCGUGCACUGAAGUCGGGGCCUUCCAGUCUAGAACCUCCUGCACUUUUGACGGGUCAACAGAAAUACCCUCUUCGGAUAGAAUAUGGCCUAGGAAAGGCACUUUCUUCAGCCAAAACACACACUUGCUGAACUUGGCAUAGAGCUGAUGUUCUCGCAGUCGAGUGAGUACAAUCCGAAGAUGCUUCUUGUCGAGGAUAUCAGUAAGGGGUACCCCAACUGAUGUCCAUGUCGGGAUUAUCCAUACACAAUUCGAGGCCUCCUACUUGACGCUCUGCCCAGUCACGCGUAUGGUCAUCAACAACCGCAGCCUCGAAGACGGAAAGGGUGUCGAGUGAACCGAUCAGGGCUCGAGCGUCGGCUACCGUCGAAUACAGAAGCAGGCUCGAGCGAACCGGGAGGCGUCGAGCGCAAGGCCGCCGCCCGCCGCCUGACGCGGGCACGGGAACCAGGGCAUUUAAUGCGCCUGUCGCGUUCUCACCUAACACGCAGGUCACGGGGAGCGUGAUAGGGAGCAGGCACCCAUCACAUCAUUCUUUUUGCAGCCUUCCCCACCAAAUAACCCAGAGCGUGUCAGGAUGCAGGAAGCAGGGUUGGAACGUCUAAUCAAGACCCCCUCGAGACAUCCAAGGUCAACGUUCUGGAUAGCAAGGCGCUACACGGCGUCCGACCCUCGACCAGACCCGUUUCCUUCCUGGGGAAGGGUUGGGCGUCGAAUGACAACACCACAACCGCUCCGACGUAACCGCCGCCAUGACGUACAGGCGAGCAACAGAUAAACCAGUCCAAGACGGCACACAGAGCAGGAUACAGGGGCAUGCGUAAUCAUCAUCAAGCUACCAGGACGGGACGACUCGAGACCACGCCGGUACGGAGGCCUCGAGUAAGUCCACGCGCCAUACCUCUAUCGACCCCUACUCUGACGCCUAUACUUGUACCCUAGGCUUCUCCUUAGAACUAUAAAAGGGGAGGCCCGGGAGGCGAUACAGAGAUCACGCACAAUACACCACAACAUACAACGCUCACAUGCAGUAGAGCUUCCAUCUCCAUCUUAUUUCAUACCACGCUUGUAUUUACCCCUGUACAAGCACUUAGGUGCAGAAUAAUACAAACUCUCCUCCCCCGCUGGACGUAGGGCCUUCUCUUGCCCGAACCAGAAUAAACCUUUGUGUCUUUUUGCAUCACCAUCUAGAAAAGGGAGCACGCAUACAAAUUUACUAGUUGGUGUGACCUCCGGGGAAAAAACACCGACACUUCUCAUGGUCUUGAGCUUUUUCAGAGUACACCAAAAUGUCAUCGAUGAAUACUACCACAAACUUAUCCAGUUCAAGCAUGAACACCGAAUUCAUCAGGUACAUGAAAUGAGCAGGGGCAUUAGUCAGACCAAAGGACAUGACUAGAUACUCAUACAACCCAUACCUGGUAGAGAAAGCCAUUUUAGAAAUGUCUUCAGGUCGGAUCUUGAUUUGAUGAUACCCAGAUCUCAGAUCAAUCUUGGAGAAUACCUUAGCCUUAGCUAAUUGAUCAAACAGGAUAUCAAUGUGAGGCAGUGGAUAUUUGUUUUUAACAGUCACGGCAUUUAGCGAACGAUAGUCUACGCACAUACGUAGAGACUUGUCCUUCUUCUUGACAAAGAGAGCCGGACAACCCCAGGGAGAAGAACUAGGCCGAAUAAGAUCUUUCUCAAGAAGUUCUUGCAAUUGCUUCUUUAACUCUGCCAAUUCAUUGGGUGGCAUUCGAUAUGGCCUUCUAGAGAUAGGCGCGGUAUCCGGAAUCAGAUCAAUUUUAAACUCUAUGUUUCUAUCCGGUGGCAACCCAGGCAGAUCCUCUGGAAAACAUCCGGAAACUCGCACACUACCAGAAUUUCUGCCACCGUGAGUGGUCUAAUAGCAUUAGCAGCGUGACAGAUGUCAUUGCUUCUAGGGAGUUGAACUAAGAAAGCUUCUUUACUAUCAGGCUGCCUCAACAUGAUUACCCUAGUUGAGGUGUCUAUUAACACUUCAUGGUCACUCAUCCAUUUCAUUCCUAGGAUAACAUCUAUUCCCAAGCCCGAUAAGAUGACAAGAUUUGUUGAAUAACUACGCCCUUCAAUGGCAAUAUGCACAUCCCUCACUAAUUGAUUUGUAGAGAUCUAAUUACCAGCAGCACUAAUGCAAAAUUUUCCACUGUCAAGGUCAAUUACAUGUUGCCCAUGCUUAGAUGCGAAUGCUUGACUUAUGAAUGAAUGCGAAGCUCCAGAAACAAACAAGACAACUGCAGGGUGUUGAUUUACAAGAAACAUACCAGCCGUGACCACUUCACCUUCGGGGAUUUCUUCAAUGGUGGUAUAGUGCACUCGGCCAAUACGGUUAUUACCCCCAGCUGCAGAAUUCCUCUUUGGAUAAGGGCAAUCUCUCAUCCAGUGACCGACUUGUUUGCUGUUAAAGCAGGGGCGGUUAUUAGGGGGAGUCUUGGGGCCUCCUUGACCUGUAGCACCCCUAGGAAGAGCAACUGUGAAGGACUUAAGAACGCCUGUACCUAGUCACAGCAUUGGGCGGGCGUUAGGCCGGUUUGCUUGCCACUGGGGCCUUGGACUGCGAAGCACCUGCCUCAUAGGCCCUCUUGCGGUUCUUGGACGUGGCAUACACAGCAUCUGAGUUCUCCUGAGUCAACGCAUCACUCACAAACUCAUUAAAAGUGGUACUCUUGUUACCAGCCAUGUUCUUGGACUUCUUGGGUCCCAACCCUCUCUUGAAACUAGCAAGCUUCUUGACCUCAGUAUCAACCAUUUCAGGAGCAUAGCGAGACAAAUUAUUAAAAGCAUGAAGGUACUCAGUCAAGCUUUUAGUGCCUUGAGUCACAUUCAUUAACUCGGUAUGCUUGAUAGUCAUUAAGCCUUGGGGAAUAUAAGUGGUCCUGAAAGCAGUUUUGAACUGAUCCCAGGUUACAACAGCAUUGGCAGGCAAGCUGGUCCUGUAAUGACUCCACCAGACACCGGCUUUGCCUUCCAGCUGGUGUGCUACAUAUUCCGCCUUCAAUUCUUUAGUUACCCUCAGCAAGCAGAACUUCUGCUCGAGAGUGUUCAGCCACUCAUCAGCUUCCAGAGGUUCGACAGCCUCCUUGAAAAGCGGCGGCUUCGUGUCCUGGAAAUCCUUGAAAGUGCUAAAUAGAUUUGCUUCUCCACCUUGGCAGGCAUGGCGACCACCCCGGUUCUGCUGCGCCAUAGUCUGCAUAGCAUCAUUGAGCAUUCGCUGGCCCUCAACAAGAGUUGCCAAGAGCUCAGCAGGCGUAGGCAGGGGAGGAGGUGGUGGUGGCGGCACCUCAUUGUGACCGGAGCGAGUAUUGCGAGCCAUCUGCACAAGGCAUACCAAGUGACCGUUUAGGAUAACAGAUAUAAUUACCAUGAAUCUCGAUUGCUGCCAUACGAAAUUUAACAAAAUAAAUUCACAUAAUUCAAGGCACAAUAAUCCAUGUACAAUAGGAGAAUAUCGUCCACGACACUUGGUUAUUCUCGCGAUCAUUCACAGUCACAAUUCACAAGGAUUAAAGACAUUGCAGAAGAUUAUUUAAGCUCAACAUAAACAUGGAGCAUCACAAAUAAGUGCAUAGGGUAACAUAAAAUCACUGCCACAACUUAAGUCUUACAGGAGGGGCACCAUGGCCAAAUACAUAGGGUCUCAGCUGAAAUUCAGAUUACAUAUCCAUUACAUAAAGAGAUGGAUACUGAUAAAUGAGCAUGGAAACUAUUGCUUGGCUACAUAUCUUCCUCAGAUUCUCCAUUAGAAAUUAUGCCAUCAUCCUGAUCUUCCUCACUGGGAGCUUCUUCAUGAUUAAAGGGAACAGGGUGUGGAAUAGGAUUUAUGAUAUUAUUUAGGCGAUGGACAUCUAACUGCAGCUCGGCAAUCCUAGUAAUCAGCUCUUCCUCUCUAAUUUCACCAUGGAAUAAAGCUCUAACUCUAGCAGCGUCUCUAUUUUCAGCCAAGCGCAUAGCCUCAUCUCUCUCUCUAGUCAUUUGCAUCAUGCGGGCUUGUGCCUCAUUGCGCUCUCUAAAUGCAUUUUUAACUUGGUUGCGGCGGGCUUGCAAAGCGGUGUGAUAGUUUUGGAUUUCGGCUUGUGCGUCGCUAAAGGCCUUGCGGUGCUUGCGCACACGCUUGCGCAGUUUGCGCUGCCCAACUUGAGCUUGCUGGAGCGCUAACAUAGCUUCUAUGUAGGUGUCCUGGCGUACAUAGUAUAAUUUAAGUACCACCAGCAUGACACUCAUGGCGGGGCUAGAGCUAUAUCCUAGUCUGGUUUCUCUCAUUGCUAAAGGCUCAGCUCCUAUCUGAGACACAAAUGUGUCAGUCACACUCACUCUAGGAAAUGAUCCAGCUGGGCCAUUAAUUAACUCAUCCCCAUAGUCUUGGCAUAUCUCCAGCAGUACUUCUAAGGCACAAGCCCUCCCAAGGAGUUUGACCAUCGGACUCUACUAUCCAACCUAACCACUGUGGGUUGUUUGGAAAAGAGGGAACUGUAAUUUGGACAUCUACCCAAGGUAAAGAUCCUGCAUGCUCGGCCUCUGUCCAUGUGUACUGAGGUGGUUCCUCAUAUCCCACCAAACUUAGCACCCUCCACAACAAAGUAGGAGUGCCAAACAUGUCCAGAAAAGUAUCACUUGCAUGUGGGGCUGCCAUCUGUAGGAAAGACGACAACUUGUGUAAGGAAGAUUAAUUACAAGGGAAGAUAAUUGAUUAUAUUUCGGAAUUUAAGAAUUAAGUAGUGCAUAAGAAAUGUAUGAAUGAUUCAUGAUGCAUGCACGUUCCAUACGUCAUUUCCAUACCUAGAAGAAAGUUCUAACGGUAUAGUCGGUGGCAUACAUACGUGCACUCCUUAUACGCAACUACACGGUCUACACGUUUCGUUGUUAGUGUACCUGCAGAAAAUUUCAUUCCAGCCCAACCUGGGUAUAUGUGCAGAAAUGCAAAUCCAAUCAUCAACAAUCAAGCUAGAUACUCCGAUAUAUAUUCCCAAACAUAUAUCGCAGCAUCCUACCCUUUUGGGAUACAUCCAUAUACACAUCAAAUAUGUAUACAUGGCUGCACCUACUACCCGCAAUUAAGUACCUUCAUAUAUACAUGUGUGAAACAUGUAAAUAUUCCAGUAACCACAGCUAACACUCCCCUGGACCGACGGUUGGACGGUCAUGCUCUCACAGCUCACAUAUACCGUGGCGUAGAGGCAUAUAGAUCCAUACAUUACCACUCAAGCAAGUGGCAUCCAUACAAUUUCAUACCGUAUGGACGACGAAAGAAAACAAACAAUGAUUACCAUGGCGUAGAGGUAUGUGAUCCAUUCAUUACCACUUAUGUAAGUGGCAUCCAUAUUAUUGCACGCCAUGGACGACGAAAGGAAAAACCCCCAUGUUAGUAAUAUUAAGCCACCUAGAAGUCCUUAUAUGGGCACAAAGGGUAUGACCACUGGCAUAGUAUAAGUUAUUGAAAUAUUUUUAAAACAGCCCUAUGUAUAGUCUAAUUUGCCAAUUAGUUCGCGGAAACCAAAUUCAUUUGUUUUUAAAUACAUCUAUGAUGGUUAAAUGCUUAAUCUUGCUCUGAUACUAGCUGUAACACAACCGUCCAAUUUAUAAGAAUUCAAGUGAAUUAGCGACCACGGAGGCAGUCAAGCCAAUGGACUUGAACCCAUAUAAACCCGGUAGUCCGACGAAAUGUCAAAAGACCUCGAUCCAACCAACAUACAACCAAGAUCGUACAUGAUCAAGCAUCGCCAUCACAGAUUACAUACAUUCAUCACAGAACAUAGUUUUACAACACAUCAGAGUUUAAAAGAGGUUAUUACAAACCAGCUUAGUAGCAGAAACAAAGUAGUUUUAAAACAUCACACACUCAGUUUAAAUUACAUACCAGCUCCAUGGUCAAACCCAACAAAAGCACAACUGAAGAUAAAGAAGGUGAUCACGCCCAUGAUCUACUCAUCGUCCGCAGUCGGAUGAUGACAGUUAGCACAGUAGCCGUGAUAAACAACAUCAUCUGCAACAAAGAUAAAUAAAACCCUGAGUACGAGAAUGUACUCAGCUAGACUUACCUGUCAAAAACCAAAAAUAAAGUGACACCAAGGAGUAUGCAAGGCUAAUCUUUGUGGACUGGUUUGACUCACCCUUUUGCAUAAAAAGCUUUAGUUGUAAGUAACCCAUUUAUAAUAUUUCAGCAGCAGGUUCAUUACUUUAACAACUAUCCACUAGAUUAGCACCUGUUCUAAGUAUACACUUGAGUAUUUAAGCAUCACAAUAAUAACCAUAUCCGGAUUAUCACUUAGCUAUCAUCAUUCUCAUCAUAACCAUCAAGUUUAUUUAGUGAGUUCUACGUUGACACUGCCCGAGUCAAGUUCUCACUAUCCGGGAGAGACGGCGAUUCGAAUCGAUUCCUAUCCAGCUGGAGGGGUAUUCCUAGCACUCACCCAAGCAUACUUCAUGAGGGCAGCUUGGAUCAUCUUUAGCACAACUCCGAACCAAUUCGCGGGUCCGUCCAGCGCCGCACCCCCAGGGACCGCCAAUCUGCCAGGGUUAGGACUCUAACCUGACACCUCGGACUUACGCCAUUGACUCCCCGCACAUACUUACUACCAACCGGGGUGCGCACUCAUACAGAACGGGGUAUCCGGCCGGAGUUGCACUCGUAGGCUUCGCGGUCGGAACGACUUAUCCGGCCAGCUAAGUGUUAGGCAUGCGUUCAACAUGACAUGAGGACGCACAACGAAUCGGUCCUUAACCGACACGGACGGGGAUAGAUUCACACCCAAGAUCUCCAUGCCUUGCUGCUGCACUAUCAUCAUCCCACCCGGUCUCAAGUUCAUUAUUAGCACAUGGAUAUUUCCACGAUAGCAAAUAUAGCCAACCGUGAGGAAGUAUCCACCUAUCUCUAGCAGGUGACAGACAAUCACCCGGCUUCUACCGAGCUAAGCAUGGCUAAGCAUCAUUCGAUUCUGGACCUACUUAGGUGAGGUAUGAGGUGGACAAGGUAGUCAUUAUGCAGCAAGGGUGUCAUUUCAACGCCUAACACUUAAUGCGACAAUACAUAACCAUAACCAAUUGAUAGCUGGACAUGGUAACAAAAUAGUAGGAGUCUUAUAAUGCUCCGGGGCUUGCCUUCAAUGUAAGUAGAGGGACGAUGGUCAGGGCACUCCUGCAGAUCCUCCUCCUCAGAUCCUCGAGGUAGCUCCCCUUGUUGAUCUUCCGGCUCCGGCAGCUCGAACUCCAAAACCGUCACUCCCUUGGGUACACCUAUGUAUGCAUGACAAGGCGAUAAACAUAGGGAAUGCACAUAAAAUGCAUAAUGUUAUGAUGACCAGCCAAAGGGACAAGGAACAUGGUGCGAACAUGAGCAUAAGCUUCCAAUCAUCAAGAGAAUCAUGUACACCAAGCAUGUGCAUACUUCUUCUCUGGUAGAGAGGCUAACUAGACAAGCUAAUCAACCCUAGCUACUCCUACUUAGUCACUGGUCUCAUGGGCAGAUUAACUAGUCUCAAGAUUCAGCAAUAACUUAAGCAUCAUUUGGCCAAACUAAACAAAUAGAUACUUUAUGGAAAUCUUAGUAAAUUGUCUACAAUUCACUUUGAGACAUCCCAGAAUAAUUCCCAACCGAAAUAUGCUAAAACAUACAAAGUUGGCUGGCUGUCCUGGAGAAUCCAGAGAGCAAGCACUUUGCAGCAGCUAUUUGUAACAUGCAUAACUUUUAAACUACUUAACCAAAUGUGAAGAAACUUGAACACGAAGUAGAUAAGCAAGUUUGCUACCAGUUUGUUAUAGACAAGUUUCCCAGAAAACAUGAUCUUCAUUUAGUUCUUAAGCAAUUUCUAUCAGCUACACAGAAUUGCUCUAGGAAAGGCAUAAAUAGCAACAAUAAUAUUUUGCACAUAACAAGAAUGUAUCAAAGGGUUAAUCCAAAUGCACCAGUAGAUAGAACAUGCCUAAGAAACACUAGAAAACAUCAUGGCAAGGUCUAAACUCAUUUCUAUCAUCACCUUUUUCAUUUAUUUAAUUAUUAAGGUGAUUUAAUGAACAUGCAUCCCAAGUGCUCCAAGAAUUCUAGGAAAAUUACAGCAAGCUACUUAUGCUAACACAAGUUUACUGUAAAAUUUUCAGGGCACUUGCACAUAAAUAUUGUGAGAUACAAAAAUAACAAGCUAGCAAAGGCAUGCAAGGCAUAAAUGUGAAACCCUACCAAAACGUGUCAAACAACAGAUUUCAGACUUUUCCUAGUUUUUUUUACAUAUGAGUACAACACUCAGCAAGUUUCACCACAAAAGGAGUUAUAACUUAUUUAUUAAAAAUACCACAAGAAACUCCUGUUUGAACAAGAAAUAUUUAUAACUUCACAAUCAGGCCUCCAAAAAUCAUGAUAAAUUUAUCCGAGCCUAUUCAUGUCAUAAGUAACCAUACCCUAAAUUUGCAUGGCCAUCAGAUCAACAGAUCUCCAGAUAUAAUUACCUCCUAUUAAAUCAAGAUUAAAUUAUAUCUAUUUAUUUCUGCAAAAACAUGGUAUGUUUCAUAUUUUUAAUAAAAACUAGAUUACCACAACAACCUAGCAAAAUUGGAACCACACCAUUUGGAUCUGUAAAACUGAAGAUAUGAAUUUUUUCAAAAACAGCAAAGGAUCUGCUGCACAGUGACCAGAGAUGUGAGAGAGAGAGACUGACAGGUGGGAUCCACUGACACACGGGACCCACGCGACAGAGAGACAGAGACAGGGGAGACGCUCGUCGCCGGCGAAACUCGACGACGGUGAGGUCUCGGUUGGAUCCAAGAGCAUCUACGUGUUGCUCUCCUCAAGGCGGACUCGGUGACCUACUUUACCCGCGCUCUACUGGACCCUAGGGUGCUCGCCGUCGUGAAUGGCGGCUCGGCGGCGCUGCGGGCGAUACGCUGGCGUGCACAGCCGAUGCCGUCCCAGUUGACGUUCACGCCGAGCAUCAGUGAGCCAAGGGAAAGCGAUAGGAACAAGAAUGGAGAGAAAUGGUGGAGCAGAGAGGCCUGGCCACGUCGCCGGUGAGCUCGGGCGAAACUCCGGCGAGGGAGAAUGGCUCAGAGCUCGGCAAUGCCGCCUUACCCGUGCUCGACAGUGGCCACGGGGGUGACGCCGAGGUAGAGGAAGCUCUGGCGAAGCUUUUGGCGGGCUGGCUUUGCCGGAGACGGCGAGGGAAGCUCAGGCGAAGCUGUCGUUCCGCGGCGGAGCUCGCCGAGGCGAAAUGGAGAAGGGAGAGAGCGCUGGGGAGGCGAAAUGAGGACGGCCGAGGCUCGGGGUGGCGUCGUGGUGUCCAAGUGAAGGCGUCGGGGCUGACAGGCGGGGUCGCCGUCAACGUACGGCCGCCACGGGUCGUCCACGCAUCGGCCGGCCGAUGACUGACGAAACUGAAUCACGCAAUUCAGUCGUCGCCGACAGUGACUGAAACCCGAUGUUCACCGACGUUUUACUCUCAGCUCACUCGGUGGUUUUGGCUCAAACUUGAUCCUUUGGAUAGAGCUACACGAGUUCUACAAGAUUGCUUAUAGGAUCAAAAUCUAAUUCGGCCUGGAUUUCAUUCUACAAAGCUCCCAAGUACCCUACCUCGAAACUGCGUUGCCUCAGACUUAGGAAAAAUUUGGCUAAGUGUAGAUCAACCCUGAUUUUUGCCUUGUGAGCUAAAUUUGAAUGUGUUCCAAGCAUUUUCAUGAAAAGUCAUCAACAUAACUUUUCUAGCGUAUAAAAAUUACUACAACAUUGCUUUAGAUGUCAUUUACAUGCAAGGUAUCUAACACCAGUUUCAUAAAACACCUUUGAAAAGAGGUCUAGGGGGUCAACUAGGUCAAUCUAGGGUUAACCAUGGCUUAGGGGCAUUUUUGGCCAAAACUUCCAACAUGAACUUUGUUCAAAAAGUUAUUCUAAACAUGACUAAAGUAUUUUGGAAGACAAUGUGCACUUGCAUGCAUUUGUCACCCAUUACAAUCAACCAUAGCAAGUCAUAUAGCAAUUCAAUCACAUAGUGUAUGUAACAAAUGGCAUGUGAUCAUGGUAUGAUGCUCAUGAGUGAUCAUGAUGAUGCUUAUGUUGAUGCAAUGCUCAUGGUUAACAUGCAAGCUAACACUAGGAGUGUUACAACAUCGCUGAGGAUUAUGAACUUAGCAGAGGAUGAAUCGACAACACGCUCGCCCCUCAAUUACGGUGAAGCCAUCAUGGUUCUCCCUGGUACCGAUUCAAAUGAGAACUAGGUCGGACGAUUCUUCGAAACGCUGUAUCAUGGCCUUUCCAAAGAUCAGCGAGCCUAGAUGCCUUAUGAAGAUGCAGAGUCCAGAUUUCCACUUACUUUCCACCCUGCCAAUGACGCACUUAACAAGGACAAUAAUGUGAUGAUGGCAAUUAUUACACCAAGAGCAAUCCCAGUGAGCAACUUUGGCAGCAGAAAGAACACCAACACAACCUAUGAGUUCCACAACCCAUCGACAAUAGCCCGUCAGCUGGCUUUUGGUCAGUUACCAAUUAAACUUUGUUAUGCCGAUGUGGUCAAGCCGAGGGAGGUAUACUUAUCAAAGCCCUCAGCCGAUGCUCUGCUAAAUCAUCCAACUCGUCUUUCAUCAAAGUAGCAUAGUUAUCGGCAUUCAGCUGAUCUUGAAAAGAUAGUCUACUAGAUCCAGUUUUAACCUCCCAUGGCAAUACAGCAUCGUGCCCAUACACCAACUAAUAACGCGAAAAUUUGGUUGAUCCAUGACAAGCCAUCCGAUAUGACCACAAAGCUUCAUUCAACAACGUAUGCCAUCUCCUAGGAUUUUCUUCAAUCUUCCGUUUGAUGAGCUUAAUAAUUCCUUUGUUAGAUGCUUCGGCCUGCCCAUUGGCUUGAGCAUAAUACGGAGAAGAAUUCAACACUUUAAUCCCCAUACCGAUUGCAAAUUCAUCAAACUCUCCCGAUGUAAACAUAGUACCCUGAUCGGUAGUAAUCGUUUGAGGAAUACCAAAUCGGUAAAUAAUAUGCUCUUUCACAAAAUCAAUCAUAUUGGCCGAUGUGACUUUCUUCAAAGGAAUAGCUUCAACCCACUUGGUGAAAUAAUCGGUGGCAACCAAGAUAAACUUAUGCCCUUUGCUUGAUGGUGGGUAAAUCUGGCCGAUUAAAUCAAUAGCCCAUCCCCGGAACGGCCAAGGUUUAAUAAUGGGAUUCAUGGCCGAUGCGGGCGCCCUUUGAAUAUUACCAAAUUUCUGACAUCCUUGACACCCUUUGAAAUACUUAAAACAAUCCUCAUGUAUAGUUGGCCAAUAAUACCCAUUUCUCCUAAUCAUCCAUUUCAUCUUGAAAGCCGAUUGAUGUGCUCCACACACUCCUUCAUGGAUCUCUCCCAUCAAACUUUUAGCUUCAUCAUUGCCUAAGCACUUGAGAAGAACUCCAUCGACUAUUCGAUAAUAUAAUUCAUCCUCGAGGAGCACAUACUUGGUAGCUUGAAACCGAACACGCCUCUCAACCUUCUUAGAUGGAUCAUUUAAAUAAUCAAUGAUCUCUUUUCUCCAAUCAUCGGCAUUCAUUGCCGAUAACGUAUUCAAUAUGGGUUAAUAUCCCGAGGCAUGCUGGGCCAACCGAUUAGCCUCUUCAUUAUGUAACCGAGGAACAUGCUCUAAUUGGAAAUCUUUGAAUUCCCUUAACAGUUGCAUGCUCUUUUUGUAAUAAGUUAUCAGGACUUCACUUCGGCAUUCAUAGCUUCUAGCCAAUUGAUUUAUAACCAGCAUAGAAUCCCCGAAGAUUUCAACAGCGUCAGCCUGAACUUCUUUUAACAACUCCAACCCCUUGAUUAAAGCUUGAUACUCAGCUUGAUUAUUUGCUGACAUGGCAACAAUCGGCAAAGAGAACUCAUACUUCCUUCCCUGAGGGGAAAUUAACACUAUGUCGAUUCCAGCCCCCCGGUCAUAAGUGGAUCCAUCAAAGAAGAACGUCCAAGGCACAAUUUCCAAAGUUUCCACUGUACUGUGAUGUUGAGUCACAAAAUCGACCAUAAUUUGUCCUUUAAUUGCUUUAGCCGAUUCGUAACGCAGAUCAAAUUCUGAUAGUGCCAAAAUCCACUUACCGAUUCUGCCACUCAUAAUCGGCAUAGAUAGCAUAUAUCGGACCACGUCAUCUUUGCAUAUAACAGUGCAUUCAGCCGAUAACAAAUAGUGCCUCAACUUAAUACAUGAGAAAUAUAGGCAUAAACAUAAUUUUUCAAUGGCCGAAUACCUGGUCUCAGCAUAAAUCAAUCUUUUACUUAAAUAGUAAAUCACACGCUCCUUCCCUUCAAAUUCUUGAAUCAAAUCUGAACCGAUGACCAUCCCAUCGGUAGACAAAUAUAAUCUGAAAGGCUUUCCUUGCUGAGGUGGAAUCAAAACUGGAGGAUUUGUUAGAUAAUUCCUGAUCUCAUCCAGAACCAACUGUUGCUCUUUUCCCCAUAUAAACUCUUGAUCGGCAUUUAAUUUAAGUAAAGGACUAAAGGGACGAAUUUUACCAGACAAAAUAGAAAUAAAUCACCGGAUAAAAUUUAUCUUGUCGAUCAGAGAUUGGAGGUCAGUUUUGUUGGUAGGAGCAACUAUCUUGUUAAUAGCAUCGAUGGACCUUCGGCUAAUCUCAAUUCUCCUUUGAUGCACCAUGAAACCAAGAAAUUGCCCUGCCGAUACGCCGAAUGCACACUUGUUAGGGUUCAUCAUUAAACCAUGUUUCCUUGAACAUUCCAAUACUUUUCGCAGAUCGGCAAGAUGUUUUGUGAAAUCUCCAGACUUAACCACCACAUCAUCAAUAUAAAUCUCCACCAGCUUGCCGAUGAACUCAUGAAAGAUAAAAUUCAUAGCCCUCUGAUAGGUAGCACCAGCAUUUUUCAAGCCAAAGGUCAUGACUAUCCAUUCAAACAACCCAACAUGACCAGGACAUCUAAAUGCAGUCUUUGGAAUAUCUUCUUCAGCUAUGAAUAUUUGAUUAUAUCCUGCAUUGCCAUCCAUGAAGCUAAUAAUCCGAUGUCCAGCCACAGCAUCAACUAGUAAAUCAGCAACCGGCAUCGGGUAACCAUCCAUCGGCGUAGCUUUGUUAAGAUUCCUGAAAUCAAUGCAAACUCGAAGCUUCCCAUUUUUCUUGUAAACUGGGACAAUAUUGGAAAUCCAUUCGGCAUACCGACACUGCCGAAUAAACUUAACUUCAAUAAGUUUAGUUAUUUCGGCUUUAAUAUCAAGAAGAAUAUUAGGAUUACAUCGGCGAGCUGGCUGCUGAUGUGGCCAGAAUCCAGAUUUGAUGGGCAACCGAUGUUUAACAAUAGAUCAGUCUAAACCAGGCAUCUCGGUAUAAUCCCAAGCAAAGCAAUCUUUAUAUUCCUUCAAUAAAUCAGUUAACUGCUGCUUACACUCAGAAUUCAACUUAGCACUAAUAAAAGUAGGUCUAGGCUUAUCACCAUUGCCUAUAUCUACCUCUACUAAAUCAUCACCCGAUGUAAACCCCUGGCCAAAUUUUCCAUCAUCGGCGAACCUAUCCAUUAGAACUCCUCAUCAGAACCGACUACUCGGAUCGGUGGAAUUUCACAAUCGGCAACUUUGAGGAAAUCCUUCUCCCAAAUUUCUCCCGAGAUACACCUGGUCCUUUCAUAAGUGUCCGCCUCUGCCGAUGCAAUGACAUAAGAAGAAUCUCCCGGGACAAUCUCAAUCUUGUCACCUACCCACUGAACCAAGCAUUGGUGCAUUGUUGAUGGAAUGCAACAAUUGGCAUGGAUCCAGUCUCUCCCCAGUAGCAGAUUGUAGGCACAUUUUCCACUGAUCACGAAGAAUGUUGUCGACAAGGUUUUGCUGCCGAUGGUCAACUCAACACAUAUUGCCCCUUUAACCGGAGAUACAUUUGCUUCAAAGUCCUUUAGCAUCAUAUCGGUCUUGGUCAAAUCCUGAUGUCCUUUUCUGAGUUUCCGAUAGACUGCAUACGGCAUGAUGUUAAUAGCAGCUCCACCAUCAAUUAAUAUCUUGGUCAUCAGCUGCCCAUCAACUCUUCCUUUGACGAACAGAGCUUUAAGAUGCUGCCUUUCAUCGUCGGCAGGCUUUUCAAAGAUAGCCGUCAUCAGAUCCAGAGCCAACUAGGCUAUCUGGUCGGAAAAAUCCAGCUCCUCAUUAUCACUGGAUGGCGCAAGAAACUCCAUCGGCAACAUAAAUAUCAUGUUAACAUCUGCGAUGCGCCCGGAUGUCACGGCCAAGAGGUGAUCACGCGGAACUUGAGAACACGCCGAGCUUAAGUCGAUGGAUUCCUAAGAACUCGUAAUAAAAAGAAACUAUGAUGAAGUCGUCGAAAAAGUAGAUGCUGGAAUAUGAGUAAAAACUUGCGUUUGAUUGAUUGAUAGAUUGUCUCAUUACAUUGCCCUAGGGUCUAUAUUUAUACCCUGUCUGAAGAGCUACAACCAGACACGACUAGGAUUCGAAUUCCAAACUAAACGGAACCCGUACACAAAACGAAUUCUAAUAACUAAGGAAAACAUAAAACUACCCCCCUGUAUCCGACCGAGGCACCGCCACAAAUCAAUCGGCAGUCUCCACGCUUUUCUUCAGAGUCAUCGGCAGACCUCCUGUUGUUCCGCUAGGCAAAUACUAACACUGAUCAUUGGCACGAACACGUCACCACCUUUGGACUUAGUCACAUUCAAUCGUCUCUUCAUCGGCAACCACCUUCAUCAGCAACCUUCCUGCAGACUAGUUACCGUUGCUUCAUCUGCCGAUCUAUACUUUACCAAUCCCCAGGUACGUAUCAAAAGAUACAUGUCCAAAAAUGGUGUCGACACCAAUAUUCAAAGCAUAAUAAUCAUCACAAACCAUUUUCCUAUACCCUUGUGUCGACGUCUAGACUCGUGGUCUAGACACAAACGAGUAUAAGUAUGUGUGACUACCUAAGCCCAGAUGGUGAUGCAAGUGGAACACAGAGAAUUUAUACUGGUUCGGGCCAAAGAUGCCCUACAUCCAGCGAGAUCGAGGAUCUGUAUUGCCUUGCACCCAAAGGUCCUUGUAGUAGGGGAGUACAAGCAGGUUGCGAGAGAGGGCUAAGUCCCAGGUCUCGGCUUUGUGCGAUGGAUAGAAUGCCGGUUGCUACUCUAUGAGUGAACUAGCUUGGAGCUGUGAAGUGUGUGUGUGUUGCGUGACUGAACUUGUUUGUAGACCUUGUCUUGGUCGUGAGCCCUGGCUCCCCUUUUAUAGCUUCAAGGGGAGGCAGGUAUUUACAUGAAGGUUUGGAGAUUUCCCCUGCUGAGUGGAGGAGUAACAUUCCCGACCCUGUAGAAGCUUGUCCAUCCCGUCCUUGAGGUAUGGCGGACAUUAUGGUUGCUCCUGUAGGGAGUUGCCAAGCCCUGUUGGAGUCAUGGGGGUUGGAUCGGCGAUAGUGCAGCCUGUCAUGUUAACAGUGGGAAAAGAUAGCAAAUAGUGAUGCUGAUUAACGUCCCCCAUUCCCCUUUUACUGUGAGGCGGUACACCACAGUGAAAGGGGUAAGGCUGCAUAGUGAAAGAGGUAAGGCUGCAGUGACCAGGGUGGUUGGAACAGUAGCCACCUUGCCCUGCUGUGGUAUGGGAGUCACCGCGCCUGUCACGUCAUGGGUACAGGCGCCUUGCGUUGGAAGCCUUGCCCUGAUCCGGUGAAGCGGCUUUUGGCGCCCGAGCCCUGGAUGGGUCGGGCGAGAUGGAACUUACGCCCGAGGCCAAGGGGGUCGGGUGAGGCGGUGUCUGCGUCCGAGCCCCGGGGGGUCGGGCGAGACGGAUCUCGCGUCUGAGGCCAAUAGGGUCGGGCGAGCCGCGAUUUGGGCCCGAGAUCGAGGAGGCAGAUGGGCUGGGGCCCGCGUCCUAGUGAUUGUGGAUGACAUGCUUUGUCUUUUGCGAUUUUUAUUGCUCUGAUCUGGGUAUCCCUUUUCAUGGUACCCAACAGUAGCCCUCGAGCCUUUGAAGGGGUGAGGUCACCUCUUCAAAGGUUCAUUCUUAUGGGACCAUUGUUGACCGGGAGCUUUUUUACUUUUCUCCGGAGGGUGCGCGCGAGCGCACCCGCCGGGUGUAGCCCCCGAGCCUUUUGGAGGAAUGGUGUUAUUCCUUCAAAGGAUUUUACCCCUGAGUGAUACAGUCGGGAGUAUUUGAGGGAUAGGUUGCGUGUUCUUUACACGUAGUGCCUGUUCCCAUAGUGCGAGGAAGCCCCCGAGCCCUUUCCCCACAAGGGUCGACCAGGUUCCUUCUCGUCUUAGUAAUUACGUCCCUCAUUCAUCCAUUCGCUCGGAGGAGGGGUGGGUCGCGCUGUACUACCCUCAAUGGGCGAGUAUCGAUGUUCCUCGGGAGCUGCUAGUGGGUAAAUCCAAGUGGAUGUCCGAGCCCUAUUCGAUAAGGUUCGGCUAGUGGCCUUAUGGGCACAUCUCAAAAUACCCGAGGGCAGUCACGGUGGAUGUCGGAACCGUUCGCUAGGUUCCGAGGGCUCGGUGCCUCCCUCGAUGGGAUCCCACUCGUGUGACACCCGCAUGGGUCUCGGAUAUGACUGGUAAAGAUGCGCCGACCCCUUAGGGGGCUUGGUCCUUGGCCUCUAUCAUGCUCAUCUUCAAUCAUCCCUCGCUCAGUCAUCCUAAGGCGACUGUUCAAACCUGUUUUACACAGGUCAGUCCCGCAAUCCUCUGGAACGUAGGUGGCAAUGCCUGGGGAUUUUUUGGCCUUGAAAGGCUUUUUAGACUUGUUUGUAGUAUCGGGGUCGGGCGAGACGGAAUCUGCGCCUGACGGGAACCGCCCUGCGACCUUGGUCAGCAGGGGGUCGAGCGUCGCUUACCCUAGAAGGAAACGCCCUCACAUAACUUUUCAGAGCGCUCCUUUUGAGGUGCGGCGCGUGGGGAAUCGAAAUGGCCGUGCCGUUGUACCCCGUCUGGAUGCGACGUUUCACCUGCGAAAUUAAUGCGCGCGUGCAGCGAGCGUGAGAAUCGGAGGGAGUUGGCGCUUCGAGUUUUUCACCUGGUGGGAAGCUGGCGACGGUUGCUCUUUUUUCUCUUUCGAUCUUGCGUGCGGGCGGUGUGGCCGUGGUACGCUCUCUAUAUAAAAGCAGCCGCAGGGGACUUGGUUUCUUUACUCAUGCUCCUGCGCAAAAAAGCUCUUGUCUCCUGCCCUUUCUCCUGCUGCCAUCUUCUCCACUUCCGCCGUGCAGACGCCCUACUUCACCCAAAGCUAUGGCCGGCGAUGAUGCGUGGCCGCCCUGCAAUGUUACCAGGUCCGUGCUGGAGGCGCGCGUGAAGGCAGGGAUCCUCCGCCCCAUCACGGACGCCAGGCAACCAGAGUGUAUUGUUCCCUCGGCGAAUGACAGGGAGCCGAACCCGCCUCAAGGCUAUGUGGUCUGCUUCCUGUCGUUCUUAGACCGGGGUUCGGGACUCUAGCAAGCCGCUUGAUGUGGGCGAUCCUGCAUCACUACGAGGUAGAGCUGCACAACAUCAACCCUAACUCGAUAAGGCAGGCAGCCGUAUUCGCCACGGUGUGCGAGGGGUUUCUGGGGGUUCCUCCCCACUGGAACCUCUGGCUUCAUCAUUUUAAGGCGGAUAUGUCCGCCCGCUACGUGGGAGGGGAGCAGUUCCGCUGCGAGUUGGCGGUUGCACGCUGCAGCUCCGUCAGCAGCGGUCUGGCCAAUACAUCUGGAGCGCGAUGCCCUCGUCGAACCGGGGGUGGCAGAACAGGUGGUUCUAUAUCUGGAACGACGACGGGCUGCUCCCAGAAUAUACUGGGAAGAUGGUGAAAGAGUGCCCCCAGAAGUGGGUGUGGCGUGCUCCUGCGGAGGAGCUGAAGAGGCUCGCCCCGCUUCUUGCGGGGCUUGAGAAGCUGCGCGACGCCCAAGUCACCACGGCCACGGUGGCGACGGCGUUCCACAAGAGGAGUCUACUCCCGUUGGCGCAGCGGCGAGCAUUCAUGUUCGAGAUGACCCGGAUAUGAAGAACUCCCGGGUGGUGCCGAUGCGCCCUGAAAAGGGCUACAUUUCUCUGGUAAGAGGCUAUUUUUUGCUUUGAUUUCUUGCAUUUGUUCCCCUUUUAUUCCAACCUCAGUCCCCUUUUUCCGUUUGCUUCACAUGGGAUGGGGAUCAUCAGGGAUUCCCUGCCCCCAGUCCCAGAGGACAAGGAGAUCCGGGCCAAGAAUCGGGCCCCGAACGAGGAGCAGAAAAAGGUCAAGGAGGACAAGAAGGCGAAGGCUGCGAGGAAGGCGCAGCGGCGAGAGAUUUCCGCCAAGAACCACUGUGAGGCCGAGAAGGCAGGAGGCCCUCCGCCCGAUUCUCCUGAGACAUCAGUCUCGGAGAUAGAGGGUGGACGAGACAACGCGCAUUGGCUCGACAAGCUGGUGGCGGAGGAGGACGACGUGAUUCCUCCUGCCGGUGGGGGGAUCGAGAUCCCAAAGAGGUCGAGGACCCGAGGGGGGUCGGAGGCCCCCGUGGGGUCCCAGGCGCCGGGGGGCGGGCAGACCGUCCCCCACAUUAUUGUACACGACGAGGAUGGCGCCCCUUAGGAGGGCUCAGUCCCCGUGGGUCCCCAAGAGAGGGAGAAGGCGUCGAGGGGCGAGUCCGAGGUGCCCCCUCAACCGGAAGCGCCGGAGGGCCCAACAGAGCCCCGCUCGGCGCACGGAAUUGAGGCAGGCGACUCGGCGGAGGCGCCACGGACCGAGACCACCGUCGAAGUACCUGCGCUGUCUGCUAGGGAGACGGGGGUCCAGCCAGCGGCUCCUAGCGCUCUGGGAGGCCUACAGGGAGUUUCGAGCUCCCAAAAAAGGCAGCUCCCCGAGCGAGAUGCAUAUAGGUUUUCUAAUUUCUCUUUGGAUUUUUUGUUUUUCUCUUUCUUCUGACUUGUGUUGUCCUCUUAGCCGGAAGCAAAUGUCGGCGCCAGUGGCGCUGGCCCCCCUGAAGGCCGUGAAGAGGGGGCCGCAGUCGACCCCCGGGUCGGCGAGGCCCAAGUCGCCGCCCCCCUGAGCCGCGAAGAGGGGGAGCCCCGUCGGGUAUGAGAGGGGCAGGAGAUGGGGACGCCGAGGCCCCAAGGGCUGCAGGAGACAAUCCUCACCCCCGGGGCUAUGCCUCCUCCGGAGGAUGCCGAUCUGGGAGGCGCGGCUCGGCCUGCGCAGAUCGAGGAGGGCCGGGCCAUCGUGGCGUCUGAUGUGGCGUCCCUCGGGGGUCCUCACGGGAAGGGCCCUGCCCGACCUAAGGCUCCCGCGGUAGGAGGGGAAGGCGACGCCCGAUGGGGCAAGAGCCCCGUGUUCUGGCCCAACCUCGACGACGCAGAGGGAGGGGCCAGAUUUGUUCUGGACGACCCAUCGGAGGCUUACCUCUGGCAGGGUCUGGAAGCGUGCGGGCGUGCCAGCGUCGAGGCCAUCAACCGAGCUUCUGAGCUCGUGAGCCGAGACAUGUACAAGUUGCCCUAGGUGAGGCUUCCUCCCAUGUUGUGAGGUGUUUUUUGUUCUAUUUUGUAGUACUGACUCCGUAUUCAACUUCUGAUUUUGCAGGCGCUCAAGGCUAUGUCCCUAGAGAAGUCAGUUUUCCUUCGCGGGGAAAGAGACGCCUCGGCGACCUGCGAGAAUGAGAGGACCGCUAGGGACGCGAUCGAGGGGGAGCUCGCAAAGGAAUGCGAGAUCUCUACCGAGCUUCGGCAGAAGUGCUCGGCCCUCGCAACUGAGGCUCAGGAGGCCCGGGAAAAGGUUGCCCCCUGGAGAAGAGGGUCGGCGACCUUACCCAGGAGUCCGAAGUGCAGAGGGCGGCGGCUGAGGGGUACAAGGGCGAGGUCGCUCGGCUAGAGGCUCUACUUGCCAAGAAGGACCUUGCCCUAAAUGAGGCCCAGACCGACCUCUCCGCAGCUCAGAGUGAGGUGGCCCGUUGGCACCGGAGCUCGGCGGAGAAUGAGAAGCGGGCCAAGGGUAAGAAUCGUGUCUUUUCCCUUAGCUCUUUUUAUAUUUGGAUUGUCUUUCCUGACUUUCUUUUUUGUUCUGUUUUUCAACAGAGUCGAAGAGGAACAUGGCCGAGGUAGCCUCUACCGCCGAGGCCCUGCAGAGGUCCCUCGACGUCGAGGUCACGGUCCGCUUGGCUCUAGAAGCCGUGGUUGCCUCGGCGUGCGAGGGACUCGGGGUGUUGGCGUCGGGAUCGUCGCUGCGGAGUCGAGUCGAAGCUCUCUACUCCCGGGCCGGGGAGACGAUGAGGGAGGCGCUCCACGCCGGGGUAAAGAAAGGCCUGGCGGCGGUGAGCUCUCACUAUGUCGGCAUUGACCUGCCGGAGGUCUGUGAGGGCUACGUCCUCCCUGACGAUGAAAUGGAGGCCCAGGAGGAGGUGCAAAGACUUGAAGAUGCCGCGAAUGCCUCGAGGGAUGCCUUGGCCGCCUUUUUGGAUGCCGAGGUGGAGCUUCCUUCUCUCGGCGCUCAGGGCCUACGCAGGCAGGGCAAUAAGGCCCUUAAGUUAGCUUUUUCUUUUUUUUGCAAAUGGCAAAGGCCAGUGCGCCUUGUAUUGUGUAUAUAACAUUAAUACUAAGUAUGAAUGUUUAUAUUAUUGUUCCUUUUAAGCUUUUUCUUAAUUAUCUUGUUUUCUUUUUCCUUAUGCUGACCCGACCUCGGCAGCACGGGGUCGGGUGAGCUACAUAGGGUCUGCACUUAGUCCGAGUGCCCGAGCAUAAGUCGUUCUUCUUUUCCUUAGAAAAUUUCAGAAGUCUGAAUCCGCCCCCCGAUCAUAGGGGGUGAGUAGAGGUCGUCCUUGCCCGUGGGCGCGGAUCUUUCCUCGGGCUCAUGCCUUAAGGUUUUAGGGGAUGGAUCUGCGGUUUCUUAAAUCCUUUUUAGGAAAGGGAAGAAAGACCCUUGGUCAGGAUUCUUUUAACUUGUGCGAAAAAAGUAUAAAAGAUUCGGAGUUGCCACAGGGGGUUCCCCCCACGUAGCCCCCGAGGGAGGCUCGAACUAUGCAAGGCAGGUCCGAGGCUUACUCAAAAGAAACGGUCAUAUAACUUAAACUUUCAUUAUUCUUUCAAGGUGAUGAACAAAUGGAAAUUUUUACAAAAUCCUAAGGGUAGAAGCGACGUAGCUGUUCUAUGUUCCACGCGUUCUUGAAGACCUCCCCUGCUUCGUUGGAGAGCUUGUAGGUGUCGGGUCGGAGGACUUCGGCGACGACGACAGGUCCUUCCCAGGGGGGUGUGAACUUGUGACGACCCUUGUAGCUCUGCCUCAGCCUCAGCUCCAAGUCGCCGACUUGAAAGGCUCGGCCUCGGAUUCGUCACGCGUGGUAUCGGCGGAGGGCCUGCUGGUACCUGGAAGAGUGUAGGAGGGCUACAUCUCUGGCUUCAUCCAGCUGACCCAGCGCGUCUUCUUGGAACGUCUUACAGCUAUUUUCGUCAUAGGCUUGUACCCUUGGAGACCCGUACUCAAGAUCCGUGGGGAGGACGGCUUCCAACCCAUAGACCAUGAAGAAUGGGGUGAAGCCUGUGGCUUGGCUUCGGGAAGUCCUUAGACUCUAGACCACGGCUGGUAGCUCUUUGAGCCAUCUUUUUCCGAACUUGUCCAGCCGGUUGAAAAUCCUAGGCUUAAGUCCCUGGAGGAUCAUGCCAUUGGCACGCUCCACCUGACCGUUUGUCUUUGGGUGAGCCACUGCUGCCCAGUCCACACGUAUGUGGUGUCUGUCGCAGAACUCUAGGAAUUUUCACCCGAUGAACUGUGUGCCGUUAUCAGUGAUUAUGGAGUUUGGCACUCCAAAUCGGUGGAUGAUAUCCGUGAAGAACAGCGCUGCUUGUAAGGCCUUGAUCCUUGUGAUGGGUCGGACCUCAAUCCACUUGGAGAAUUGUCGAUUGCGACAAGCAAGUGGGUGAAGCCCCCGGGUGCCUUUUGCAGAGGCCCGACGAGGUCUAGUCCCCAGACAGGAAAGGGCCAGGUGAUAGGGAUCGUCUGCAGAGCCUGAGCGGGGAGAUGAAUCUGUCGAGCGUAAAACUGGCAUCCCUCACAGGUCCGUACGAUCUCCGUGGCGUCAGCCACGGCGGUGGGCCAGUAGAAGCCUUGCCGGAAGGCAUUUCCUACUAGAGUUCGAGGCGCGGCGUGGUGGCCACAAGCCCCCGAGUGUAUGUCCUGCAGGAGCUUGAUUCCCUCCCGACGUGGGAUGCAACGCAUAAGGAUGCCCGAGGGGCUACGCUUGUACAUUUCUCCGUCGAGGAGGACAAAAGUCUUGGCGCGACGAGCCACAUGCCUUGCCUUAGCCUGGUCUGAGGGCAGAGUGCCAUCGAUGUGGAAGCCUCGGGGUCGGGGCCUGGUUCGCUUGGGGCUUAUCCGACCCCCUGUCGUCCUUAUAGUCGACAAAAGGCUUGUAGAGGUCGCUGACAAAAACAUCCGGGGGAACCGUGGCCCGCUCGGAUGCCAUCUUGGCGAGCGCGUCGGCGGCCUCAUUGUAUUUCCUUAACACGUGGUUAAGCUUGAGGCUGUCGAUUUUUUCCUCCAGGCGUCGGACUGCUUUGCAGUACGCGUCCAUCUUGGGAUCGUGGCAGCUAGACUCUUUCAUGACUUGGUCGAUGAUGAGUCUAGAGUCGCCUCAGACGUCAAGCCGUUUGAUCCCAAGCUCGAUCAUGAUGUGGAGACCAUUGACGAGGGCCUCGUACUCCGCCACAUUGUUUGAGGCGGGGAAGUGGAGUCAGAUUGCAUAUCGCAUCCUUACCCCGAGGGAUGAGAUGAAGACGAGGCCAGUGCCGGCCACGGUUUUCAUCAAAGACCCGUCGAAGUACAAGCUCCAGCACUCGUGCUGGAUCUGUGGUGGAGGGAGUUGGGUCCCUGUCCACUCAGCGACAAAGUCCGCUAGGACCUGGGAUUUUAUAGCUUUCCGAGGCUCAUAGGUGAUCCCGUCACCCAUGAGCUCUAUAGCCCAUUUGGCAUUCCUACCAUUAGCCUCGCGGUUCUUAAUCACUUCCCCCAGAGGGAAAGAUGACACUACCGAGACCAGAUGAGACUCAAAAUAAUGGCGGAGCUUGCGUCGGGCCAAGACUACUGCGUAGAGUAGUUUUUGGAUUUGGGGGUAUCGGGUCUUUGUGUCGGAUAGUACUUCACUGAUGAAGUACACCGGUCUUUGGACCGGCAGGGCAUGCCCUUCUUCCUUCCUCUUGAUCACGAUAGCUGCACUGGCCACCUGAUCAGUGGCUGCGACAUAGAGAAGCAGUGGUUCCCCCUCGGUGGGGGGCACCAGAAUGGCAGGGUUGGUGAGCAGAGCCUUGAGCUUGUCAAGGGCUUCCUGGGCCUCGGGGGUCCAGGAAAAAUGCUUGGAUUUCCUAAGUAACCUAUACAGACGUAGUACUUUUCCCCGAGACGAGAGAUGAAAAAACUUAGGGAGGCUAGACAUCCCAUGACUCUCUGUACUCCCUUUAGGUUAUGAAUUGGGCCCAUGUUUGCGAUGGCUGAGACCUUUUCUGGGUUGGCCUCGAUCCCUCGCUCAGACACAAUAAACCCGAGGAGCAUGCCUCGGGGGACCCCGAAAAUGCAUUUUUCGAGAUUGAGUCUGAUCCCCUUUGCCCUGAGGCAUCGGAAUGUUUAUUCCAAGUCAGGAACUAGGCCGCUUGCUUUCCUGGAUUUGACAACAAUGUCGUCUAUGUAAGCCUCUACCGUUUUGCCUAUGAGGUCCCCAAAGACCUGGAGCAUACAUCGCUGGUCUAUAGCCCAUGUGUUCUUGAGGCCAAAGGGCAUGGUUACGUAGCAAUACAUUCCGAAAGGGGUGAUGAAAGAAGUCGCGAGCUGGUCGGACUCUUUCAUCUUGAUUUGGUGGUAACCGGAAUAAGCAUCAAGAAAAGAUAAACUUUCACAUCCCGCGGUGGAGUCAACUAUCUGAUCAAUAUGAGGUAAUGGAAAGGGGUUCUUAGGACAUGCUUUAUUUAAACUAGUAUAGUCUACAUACAUCCUCCACUUUCCAUUUUUCUUUUUGACUAGUAUAGGGUUAGCUAACCACUCGGGAUGGAAUACCUCCUUGAUGAAUCCGGCCGCCAGCAGCUUGUGGAUCUCCUCCCCGAUGGCCAAGCGCUUCUCCUCAUCGAAUCGGCACAGGCGUUGCUUCACGAGCUUGGAGCCGGCUUGGAUGUCCAAGGAGUGCUCGGCGACUUCCCUCGGUAUGCCAGGCAUGUCCGAGGGACUCCACGCAAAUAUGUCAACAUUUACGUGGAGAAAGUCGACGAGCACUACUUCCUAUUUGGGGUCGAGGCUGAAGCUGAUCCUCAACGCCCUACCCUCAGAGGUUCCGGGGUCGAGGAAGACUAGCUUGGUCUCCUCCGCCGGCUCGAAGCUCCUGGCGUGACGCUUGGGGUCGGGGAUGUCCUGGUCGCAGUCGCCGAGGCUGGUGAGGAUUGCUAGAGACUCGGCUAGAGCCUCGGCCUGCUUAAUGCACUCGACGUCACACUGAUAGGCGUGCUGACUGGUCGUGCUGACGGUGAUGAUGCCUUUUGGCCCUGGCAUCUUGAUCUUGAGGUAGGAGUAGUUGGGGACGGCCAUAAACUUGGCGUAGCAUGGUCGUCCUAGGAUCGCGUGGUAGGUUCCUAGGAACCCGACCACGUCGAAAGUGAGAACCUCCCGUCUGAAGUUAUCGGGGGUCCCAAUGCAGACGGGCAGAUCAAUCUGCCCGCGGGGGUGGGAACGAUGUCCCGGCACCACUCCGUGGAAUGGUGAUGUGUCGUUCCUCAGCCGGGACUUGCUGAUCCCCAUGAGGGCCAGAGUCUCGGCAUAAAGGAUGUUGAGGCCGCUGCCUCCAUCCAUGAGCACCUUGGUGAGAUGAGUCUCGGUGAUGAUGGGGUCGACGAUCAGAGGAUAGCUCCCGGGAUUGGGGAUCCGAUCCGGGUGAUCCUAUCGGUCGAAAGUGAUCGCGCUCUCGGACCACUUGAGGUACGAGGGCAUGGCUGUGCUGACUGCGCAAACUUCUCGGAGUUCGUGUUUCCUCUGACUCGCGAUGAGGCGAGCCGCACAUCCCCCAAAGAUCAAGAGGCAGUUCUUGACUUUGGGGAAGCCUUCCCCCUGAGGGUCGUCGUCCUUGGGGGGCUCUUCAGAGCCCUCCUUGGUUAUGAUGUCGGAGUAAUACCGACGCAGGACAGUGCACUCCUCAAGGGUGUGCUUGGUCGGUCCCCUGUGAUAGGGGCACGGCUUCUUCAACAUCUCGUCGAAGAGACCAGGGCCAGCAGGAGCCCACUUUGGGUUCUUGCGAUCUGCCGCGGUGACUAGGUUGUCGUCCGACUGACCCUGCCUCCGUUUGUCACCCUUCUUCUUCUUUUGGGGUCGUGGGAGCCUGAGGCCUCGGUAGCCUUGGCCUUCUGUUUCCCCUUGGCUGCGCCGUCAGAGAAAAUGGCACCAACUGCCUCUUCGCCUGAGGAAAAGUUGGUGGCGAUGUCGAGCAGCUGGCUGGUGCUCGUGGGGGUCUUGCGACCGAGCUCGCGUACCAGUUCCUUGUAGGUGGUACUGGAGAUGAAGGCUCUGAUGAUGUCGGAGUCCGUGAUGUUGGGGAGCUCGGUGCAUUGCUUGGAGAAUCGCCUAAUGAAGUCUCAGAGGGACUCAUCGGGCUUCUGCCGGCAGCUCCUGAGGUCCCAGGAAUUCCCAGGGCGCACAUACGUGCCCUGGAAGUUCACGACGAAGAUCUUGACCAGGUCGGCCCAGUCGUGGAUCAUGCGCUCAGGGAGAUGCUCAAGCCAAGCUCUGGCCAUAUUGGCCAGGUGCAGUGGGAGGUUGCGGAUGAUGAGCAGGUUAUCGUCUGCUCCACCUAGCUGACACGCUAGGCGGUAAUCCGCCAGCCAGAGCUCAGGGUUGGUUUCCCCUGAGUACUUGGUGAGGUUAGCGGGCUAUCAGAAUCGUGCCGGGAACUUGGCCUUGCUUAUGGCCUCGCUGAAGACACGGGGGCCCGGAGGCUCUGGCGACGUGCUACGAUCGUGGUUGGGGUCAUAUCUUCUGCCUCGGCGCGAUCGAUAGCGUUGAGAUUCGGCCUCAUCCCUUUCACGCCGUCUGGCCUCGAGGGUGGCCCGGACGUCCGAGUCGGCCCCGACGCGCUCGUGGACAGAUGGGGCCCUGUUGCCCCCUUGCGGGUUAGGGGGCGGCGGACCCUGCACCGUUAGUGCCUUGUUAGGAGGGGGUCGGUCCCCUUGGCGUCUCGUGUCGUGGGACAGUGAUGCAGAACUUUCUGCGUUCUGCACCACAGCCUGCUCCAGGAGACCACGUAGCCCCUGGCACACUCUUCUCCCCUCGGGAGUCGAUGGCUCUGGCAUCGCUCUGAGGAGGAGUGCAGCAGCCAUCAUGUUUUGGCUGACCGUGCUGAAGACUGGGGGGUUGUCACCCCCUUCGUCCUUGAUGAUACGGCGGUCAACGUCCCAGGCGCGGCGUCUGGCCUCGCCCCCAUCCCCACAACCGGACGGGUCUUGGACCAGGGUCUCGCGGAGUUGGCGGAGGCGUUCGCACUCUUUUUCGUGCCUGGCCUCCAGCUCAUUGAGCUGCUCGAGGUCAGGGCACUGUCCUCCUACGGGGGCUGAUGCUACUCCGCGGGCUCCAGGAUGGGCCCCGGGAGUCGGGUUGGGAGGCGGAGUGGUGUUCCCCUGCCUAGAGGGUCCUGCACCCCCUUGGGCAUUGGGGGUCGCUCCUCCAACCUCGAGGUUGAAACACUCACGUGAAGGGUCAUACCCUUUAUCGUCGGAGUCAGAGUAGCCGAGGCAGUAGUUGCAGGCCUCCAAAAAGCGCAUGAAAGUCUUCAGGUCGCCACACCCGAAAAAAUCAGCGCCAGCCCACUUGUCAUCGCCUGAGGUGGGAUCCUCAGGGUACGACGAUACGGGCGGUGAUGCGAUAAGGUCCAGGGUAGACCUGAGAUGGUGCCCUGGAAGAUCCGCGUACGCACUUAGCGAAGUGCUCAUGGAAGAGGCGUAAGUGGUGGUUGUGCUCUCGAGCCCCAGAGGGAGAUCAGGAGGUGCCGCUGUCUUUCCACCACCCGUGGAUGAGGCCCCUUUGUCCCCCUUCUAGGGAGUGGGUGGGAGCCGUGCCUUCCCCUUUGAUCGGGGAGGAACAGGGGGUCGUGAUGAUCCCCUGUUGGUCUGUGGAGCAGAGCUUGACGCUCUGCAGGCCCUUCCUCUAGCGCGUGUCGAGCCGGAGGAGUGGGCGAUCUGGUGAGGAAUAUGCGGGGGGAGGGCCGGACGGACCCUCGCCUCAGUGGUAGGGUCAGAGAUCCUGGACCUCUGACGCCCUUGCCGGGCAGCCCCCGCAUGGUGUCCCAAGCGCCUCCCACGCACUGACUGUGGUGGGAUCGGCUCAGGGCGAGGCUCGAUGUCACCACGUGGCGGGAGGAGGACCAUGUCAUAGCCGGAGCCGAGAGACAUGAACUCAAAACUCCCAAACAUCAUGAUUGUGCCGUGGCGGAGUGGGUGAAAUCCGUCUGCCAUCCUGGCCUUUCCCAGUAGGGAAAGAUAAAUGCUACGCAAAAGGCCCCUACCUGGCGCGCCAACUGUCGACGUCUAGACUCGUGGUCUAGACACAAACGAGUAUAAGUAUGUGUGACUACCUAAGCCCGGAUGGUGAUGCAAGUGGAACAUAGAGAAUUUAUAUUGGUUCGGGCUAAAGAUGCCCUACGUCCAGUGAGAUCGAGGAUCUGUAUUGCCUUGCACCCAAAGGUGCUUGUAGUAGGGGAGUACAAGCAGGUUGAAAGAGAGGGCUAAGUCCUAGGUCUCGGCUUUGUGCAAUGGAUAGAAUGCCGGUUGCUACUCUAUGAGUGAACUAGCUUGGAGCUGUGAAGUGUGUGUGUGUUGCGUGACUGAACUUGUUCGUAGACCUUGUCUUGGUCGUGAGCCCUGGCUCCCCUUUUAUAGCUUCAAGGGGAGGUAGGUAUUUACAUGAAGGUUUGGAGAUUUCCCCUGCUGAGUGGAGGAGUAACAGUCCCGGCCCUAUAGAAGCUUGUCCAUCCCGUCCUUGAGGUAUGGCUGACAGUCUGGUUGCUCCUGUAGGGAGUUGCCGAGCCCUGUUGGAGUCAUGGGGGUCGGAUUGGCGAUAGUGCAGCCUGUCAUGUUAACAAUGGGAAAAGAUAGCAAAUAGUGAUGUUGAUUAACCUCCCCUAUUCCCCUUUUACUGUGAGGCGGUACACCACAGUGAAAGGGGUAAGGCUGCAUAGUGAAAGAGGUAAGGUUGCAGUGACCAGGGUGGUUGGAACAGUCGCCACCUUGCCCUGCUGCGGUAUGGGAGUCACCGUGCCUGUCACGUCAUGAGUACAGGCGCCUUGCGUUGGAAGCCUUGCCCUGAUCCGGUGAAGCGGCGUUUGGCGCCCGAGCCCUGGAUGGGUCGGGCGAGACGGAACUUACGCCCGAGGCCAAGGGGGUCGGGCGAGGCGGUGUCUGUGUCCGAGCCCCGGGGGGUCGGGCGAGACGGAACUCGCGUCCGAGGCCAAUGGGGUCGGGCGAGCCGCGAUUUGGGCCCGAGAUCGAGGAGGCAGAUGGGCUGGGGCCCGGGUCCUGGUGAUUGUGGAUGACUUGCUUUGUCUUUUACGAUUUUUAUUGCUCUGAUCUGGGUAUCCCUUUUUAUGGUACCCAACACCUUGCCUUCCUUGCAUGACUUUGCCUAUUUGAGAGUGGUGUUGCACUGCUUCCAUUACUUUCAUCAUCUUCAACUAUGAUGCCAUCUGUGUCACGUUGCUCGACAAAUGCCACUGCACACAAGGUUGAAUGCUUCGGUUAUUUAAAAAUAGGAGUAACAUACAUUUGUUGCAAAAGGAAAAUUACUUACUAAUUUCAGCAAUGUCCCCUUUCAUCCUUAAAAACUCCCUGUACGUGUGGACUGUUGCAUCCCUAAAGUCAUCCUCUAAAUCUGUUAGUCACGAAAACUAUGUUAGAUAAGGUUUAGCUUCUAUAAAGAUGUUAAGAUUCUGAAUAAUACAAUGCAUACACAGAAACAUUGAUGGUAUACCUUUGGAUUUCUCCACUGGUAGCUUUUCUAGCCAGACCUUGUAUUCAUUGAAUACAUCAUGCAUAAACCGAUGCUCAUGUUCUCCGGGCUGCUGCCUUGGUCGCUUGAAGGGGAGUAUGCUGACUGGUUGUGUUGUCUCUUGCUGCUGCGAGAGUACUAGUCUAAUGUCCUUCUCCAUUUCGUUGUCUUUUAUCAUAAUCUCUGCAUGUUUCAUAUAAUCGAUGGGCUGUAGAGUAGCUACAUCUCGUCCACAACGCUUCUUGUAGUAUACAAAGUCACGGGCAGCAUAGCCAAGCUGGUCCUUAAUAGAUGUCAAGACUGAGAAUUUUAUAGCAGGCCUUUCUACUUUGAACAUUACAUACUCAUAAUCUGGUAGUCCAUUCUUGCAGUGAACAUAAAUAGUCCAGAUUUCACCCGUGCCACUGCAGUCAUAGAACAAUGGUUCAUAAAAGAACAAGUUAAAAAGGUGCAGUAUUUUCCAUUGAUACAAACUUAAAUUCAACAAGAACUAUUCACAGGAGUUAUUUCAGGGUAGUAAUCUAAAUCUGAAAUUUCAGGGUGUUGUGUUGAAAUUUCAGGGUACUUUGAAUCUGAAUCACUGCAGUUUCACGACACCUUAAACCCACCACCAGAACAAAAAAUUUACAGCAACCCAAGCAUGCAAAUAAAUAGCAGCUAGUCUAGUUCAAAAUAAAUCAGCACUAGUGUGAUACUAACACUUAGUACUUUAUUUCCCAUCAGACAAUGAAUCAAUUAGAAAUGAGCAAAAAACUUUCAAUUAUUUAGACCAUGAAAUCAUAGCAGAGGUUUGCUUGUACUGAAUAAUUCAAUCAUAAUCAAUUUAGAAAAAUUACGAAAGUAUACCCAAAACCCUAAUUAAGACCACAUAUAGUUCACACCCUAAGGGCACGUACGGUUCCAACAGAAUCUAGUGCUCGAACCGAUCCGGCCAGGAUCAUUGUUGUAUUUAACACGGCUAACAAUCACCGGGAAGAGUUCCGGCUGAAAAUCAUCGUAAACAGAACGGGCCCUAAUUAACAAAGUAAUCGUUCCCCUUGGCUGUGGCACUGCUAUGGUGCAAAAAACAUGAAUCAAACAAACUAGAUUAAGCGAACAAUGUACCUGGGGGUAUAUGGGCAAGGGAACCCAUUUUCAUCUUCGGUUUCAAGGGUGGCUUCAGUAUAUUGAGAGGCGCCCAAGGAGGUGCCGUCGUUUCUGGUGCUCAUGCCCAGGGAUGGAAUCGACGUCAUCCUCGCUGGAGGCAUCGUGGGGGGUGUCCUGGUACUAGGUGUUGUUGAUGGUGUCUUCGAUGGCGGCGGCGGCGGCUCCAUGGAAGUCGCAGUCUAUGUGUCCUGGCCGAUCUAAUUUGGGGUCACGGGAGGGGAGGGGAGGAGUUAGAUUAGUAUAUGGCGGGUUAUUUAUUUUUUCCAUGUAAUUGGCGCGCGCGGUGGGAAGGGUCCGGAACCAAAUUUUCUGGCGCGUAGGGAAAUUUUGGCAAUCAAAUUAUGGCAAGAGUACUCCAACAAUAGUUUUCAGUUUCCGGUAAAUUUGAAAGAUAGCCAAAUAGCAUAUGUAUUUAUAAAUAUUACUAAAUCACAUAUAUAUAUUUAUUUGACAAUAUUUUCUAUUAAUUUUUUGAAGCAUAAUAUUGUUCAUCAAUAUCAUGAGUUACACAAGUGACACGUAUUAUUCAGUUGGUCGACACAUCGUUCCUGGUAUGGCACAUGACAUGGCAGUACAUAUGAAGUUGUUCGUCGAUGUGUCGUGAUCGGUAUGGCAUCACGGAAACGUGUUGAUUACGAUCAGACACUCGGUGCCAUAUGACAUAGCAUUGGAUGGCAUAUGACAUGGCACUCGAUAGGAUGAGACUACAUAUGAAGUUGUUCGUCGAUGUGUCGUGCUCGGUAUGGCAUCACGGAAACUUAUUGAUUGUGAUGGGACACUCAGUGCCAUACAACAUGGCAUUGGAUGGCAUAUGACAUUGCACUUGAUAGGACGAUACUACAUAUGAAGUUGUUCGUUGAUGUGUCGUGCUCGGUAUGGCAUCACGGAAACUCAUUGAUUGUGAUGGGACACUCAGUGCCAUACAACAUGGCAUUGGAUGGCAUAUGACAUGGCACUUGAUAGGACGAGACUACAUAUUAAGUUGUUCGUCGAUGUGUCAUAAUCGUUAUGGCAUCACGGAAACUUGUUGAUCAUGAUCAGACACUCGGUGCCAUAUGACAUAGCAUUGGAUGGCAAAUGACAUGGCACUCGAUAGGAUGAGACUACAUAUGAAGUUGUUCAUCCAUGUGUCGUGCUCGGUAUGGCAUUGUGGACUGGAAACUUGUUGAUCAUGAUCGGACACUUGUUGCCAUACGACAUGGCACUAUGAUAGGACGAGAAUACAUGAAAUAAUUGGUCAAUGUGUUGUUCUUGGUAUUUCACCAUGAAAACUAAAAAUUGCGAUAAAUUUUGAGAGAAAUAAUUUGCAAACAAAACUAAAGUGUUAGCACAAAGGUGUUAGAGAAAUAAUUUGCAAAAAAAACUAGAAAGUGUUAGCACAAAGGAGUUAGAGAAACAAUUUUGAAAAAAGAGAAACUAAAAAAUUUGGCCUUUCUUGGGCCUGCCAAGGUCCAACAGGCCUGCCAGGCUCGACCAGCAAAGGGAGCCCAGCAGAGCCACCGUGGCCAAGCAGGCCCAUGAUAAGCACAGAUAUAGUUUCACACACAUGUCAAGGAGUUCGACCUGCAUCAGUCGCUCGAGCUUUUAAGCAUAGCAUCGCUUCACUGAAUUCCCGAGGUGGUACUAAGUGGCAAGCGUAAAAUGACCUGAACAAAUAUCAUUUACGAACUAGUAAUGGGCCGGCCCAAUCGACCUGUGAAGCCUUCUCAUUGUCCACCUGUGAAGCCUUCCCCUUCUCCACCCAUGAACCAUUCACCUUCGUCAUUCGUCAACUUCACCACUCACGCGGUGGCGGCGUCAAGGCGAACUCUUCUCCACGGCGGCGGCGGCAUCGAGGCGGGCUGAUCUCCAUAGCGGCGGCGGCCGCGGCCAACAUGGCAAGAAGCAAGCGCGGCCACAACGCUCGGACCCAAGCGCGCAACUCGCGCGGGCAGUUCUGCUCUGAGCCGCGGGUGAGAUUCAUCUACUCCGACUCUGAGUUGGACUAUGACUCCAAUCUGGUGACUCCAGCCCCGACUCUGACCAUGGCGAAGACGAAGAAGAAGGUAACAUUCUUCUUCUAUGUGCAUUUCACUACCUCUAUGUAAGUAGAAAUUAGAUAAUCUGCUUUUAGAUCCUAGGGGGUCACAUAUCUUGUACAGUAUACUUUUAUAAUAGAAACUAGUUUUAUUAUCUGCUUAAUAAUAAAAUUCUUGUUUUAAAUAGAAACUAGUUUUAAUAUCUGCUUAAUUUUUUUACUCUGUUGUUUUUGUACCGGGAUACAGUUACAGCAGCAAAAUGCAUGGUGAAAUAAGAAUGUCUGUCUCUAUUUGUCUAUUCACAAUCCACUCUAUCAAGCCAAACUGCAUGCCACUGAUGCGGUGCUCUAAUACCCGGAGAGAAUGAUUUCUAGGACUAAUCUAUUGGUUGGCAUCAAUUGGGUUUGGGUUUACUAGGGCCCAUAGUGUUCUAUAAAAUAAAAUAAAAACCAGAGGCCCCCGCACAUCAAAUGUCAGGUUAUAUUUUCAUCCACCCAUAUAUCCCAUCCUAAAAUCCAAGCAUCACCUUGUUUGAAUGUCAAUGUAUCCAUCUCCAUGUAUGUUGGAAUGAAUUUUAGUUUAAAUUUAACAUCAAACCACCUCAACAUGUAUAAAUUAAGGUGGAUAUGUAUGGACAUCCAAGCAACUUGGGUCCAAAAUGGUGAUGAGCUGGCUGCUAUUUAUACUUCUGCUAUUGUUUUUCAUUCACCUGUAACAAAAUGGCAUUGGAAUUUUUCUAUAUGGAAUUUUUAUCUGCUUAAUAAUAAAAAAAUUAAGCAGAUAAUAAAAUUAUAGGGGGUCACAGAUCCUGUGCAGUAUUCUAUAUGGAUUUUUUGUUAUAUGAGGACUGUUGUUGCCUCUAUGAGUAAAGGAUGUAGACAAUUCUUGUUUUCUUAUUUUUCGAGUGGCCAUGUUGACAAUUUUGAUUAACUAAUAGUAGACUGGUUCUCUAUAUGGCUUUGUUCUGACAACAAUUCACUAGCAAUCAGAAACGAGUUUGGUGCAUAUAUAGUUGGUUCUGGACAAAUUUGUGUUUUUUUUUUAAAUUUAGGUUCAAAAUGUGCUCAUCAUGUGGCUGCUCAACAUGUUAUCUGUAUGCUUCGUACUUAAAUUUGUGUUAUCUUAUACUGUCAACAUGUGGCUGCUAUUUAUAUCAGCAUCACAUACUUUCUCGAGACUACUUCCUUUCCUAUUGUAGUCAAUAUUCGCAAAUAUACUGAGCCCAGAUGGUGGCUCACUAGCAGCAGCGCUUUCAUGACGCUCUGGACGAUUCAGCUUGGUACUCAUAUUUUCAAAAAAGUGGGAACAAAAUGUGAGGCACUCCUCAGAUAUAUACCCCUCUGCAAUUGAACCUUCAGGUUGUGCUUUGUUUCUCACAUAGCCUUUAAGAGUGCGAAGGUACCUCUCAACUUGGUACAUCCAUCUAUAUCAAACAGGGCCUGCAAGUCUAGCCUCAUCAGCAAGGUGAACUGGUAGGUGCAUCAUAAUAUCAAAAAAAGCAUGCGGAAAUAUCAUCUCCAGUCGACAAAGGGUCUCCCUAAUCGAAGUGCUUAGUCUUUCAAUUUCUGAAAGCUCCAACUCCUUUGAACACAGUGAGCUAGAGAACCUACAUAGCUCAAUCACCGGGAUCACCACAUCUUCAGGUAAUAUGUUGCGCACCACUAAAGGCAAAAGUUUUUGCAAGAUUACAUGGAGGUCAUGAGUUUUAAGUCCAGAAAGCUUGCAACCAUUGACAUCCACACAUCUAAUAUUUAUGGCGUAACCAUCAGAAAACUUGACGCCAUGUAAAAAUUUGCAUAGAGUUUCCUUCUCAUCCUUACCAAGAGAGUAUAACGCUGGUGGCAAGGUGUACUUACCCUUUUGAAGCACUGGAUGCUGAUCCUUCCUUAUAUCCAAAUGUUGCAUAUCAAGCCGGGCCUUCUCACUAUCCUUGGAUUUUCCUUCUAACUGCAGCAAUGUCCCCAAUAAGCUCUCACAUAUGUUCUUCUCAAUAUGCAUGACAUCCAAAUUAUGUCGUACAAGUAAUGAUUCCCAGUAAGGAAGCUCAAAGAAAAUACUCUUCUUCCUCCAAUUGUGCCACCUAUUUUCUUCAUAAUGUUGCUUUCUUUUCCUUGUAUCCUUUCCAAAAGUCACUUGCUGGAAACUCUCAUAAUCUUGCUUCACCUACUUACCACUUAGCGGCUCUGGAGCUUCCCUGGUUUCAACCUUAUUAUUGAAGCUCACCUUGUUCCUUCGCCACUUGUGGUUUGAGGGCAAAAAACGGCGAUGUCCCAUAUAGCAAUGCUUUGAACCAUAUUUUAGCCAUAAGUAACCAGUAUGCCUGUGACAAUAAGGACAAGCAAACUUGCCUUUCGUGCUCCAACCAGAUAACAUCGCAUAUGCAGGGAAAUCAUUAAUUGUCCAUAAUAGAAUUGCAUGUAGAGUAAAAUUGUUCUUCUCCUUCUCAUCCCAUGUUUCAACUCCUGUAACCACAACUCAAGUAGUUCAUCAAUGAGAGGCUGUAAAUAUACAUCAAUAUUUUGUCCAGGAGAUUUAGGCCCAGUUAUCAACAUUGAGAUCAUCCAAUAAGGUUGUUUCAAACAUAACCAAGGAGUCAGGUUAUAAGGAAUCAAUAUCACAGGCCAACAAGUGUAAUUGACAUUCAACAUACCAAAUGGAUUGAAGUCGUCCGAUGCAAGUCCCAACCGAACAUUAUGUGCAUCCGAAUCAAAUUUCUUAUACUUUUCAUUCGCAUGCUGUCAUGCCAAUGAGUCUGCUGGGUGCCUGUUGAUAUUUGGUAACGCAAUAAGGAAAUGAUCCGCAAGCGCACGGAUAUCGGUGAGCAUUUCACCCGGGAGGUUUUCCAGAGUAUCAUAUUUAUAUUUUUACCACUGGGAGAAAGGGUGCAUCUGACUAACCAAAUCUAUUGCUACUAUCCCUUUAGGCUACAAAGAAUGUUUCUCGAUGUGAGCGAUGUAUAGAGAAGACUGCAACCGUAGUCUCGUUCUAACCUUGGCAAGGAUGAUCUACUGUUCUAUUGGGGAAGCUUACGGAAUCUAGACACCACAAAGGAUGUUCGACCCGCACCUAUAAACCCUACCCAUCCUGCUAACAAGAUAUGGGAUACAAAGGUAACUCGAAAAUGUCAUGUUCCUUGCUACUACCACGGUCCAGCUAGUCAGGGGAUAUCUAUGAGUACCCUAGCCUAAACACCACGUUUACGCUAGCAAUGAUUACUCUAAUACUCAACCGAUAGAGGAUUAAAGUAAACUCAUAAACCAAAGAACAAUAAAACAAGAACUUACUAGAAUUAGAAGUCGAAUUACUGAAGAAUCUUAGGAGCAAGCCUCGGGUUAGGAGACUUGAUCCCGCAGGUACAACCUCGGAGUAGACACCGACAGGCCAGCCUUCCUCCGAUCUACACCUCCACUCUAUAUCUCUCAAUCUAGUAGAAACUAGAAGAUCUAUUUCUACUUACAUUGGUUGCUAAGCCUAAAAAGAAAUUCUAUUUAGAGAAGAGGUUUUCCUUCGAGGGCACCCCUCAACUCUAUGAUAAACUUGUUCUCCUCCAGGGGCCAGGGGCCUUGCUUAUAUAGUCCUCCUCCUUUGUGCGUUUUUGGUCCAGCAGGCGAUGUGGUACUAUGUUAUCAUUGAUCCUUUAGGUCGGUGGAAUGUCGUGUGCGAAGAGAGUCCUGAUUGGCAUCCAACAGAGGGCGGGCGCCCAGGUCCUCAGGGCGGGCGCCCUGGGCCUGGCCCCUUUCGGCCUGUGCUUUCUUCCCGUGGCUUCUGGAGUCUUCUAGAUGGUAGAAAAUUGCGCGGUGUGUUGAUAUCUCUAUGUAAUCCCGACAUGUGGGCCUUUCUUCCGUAUUUCCUGAUAACCCCCUGCAGAAAUAGACAAACACCAAAACUCAUGGAAUUCUGUCACAUAAAACCCUAAGUCUGGGAGUUGGUUGCAUUUGGAUCCUUUUCUUUAUUUAUUUGAUGAUUAUAUUUGGUACUUAAGGACCGUCAACAACUCCCCCAAGCUUACCUCUUGCUCGUCCCUGAGCAAGGAUGGACUCAAGAGUUUCUGCAGUGGUUUUAUGCCUUAAAGAUACACAUGCGUUUAAACCAGAUCUCAUCUCUAAGUUAGGGUAAACUGUUAAGAUUUAAACUUACUCAUAUUACCUUCCACCAUGGGGCUUGCUACCGUCACUUGUGUCUUGAGCAGUUAAAAGAUAGAAUGGUCAAGUCAAGCGCCAUGUCUCUUAUUCUUGAUCAGCUAUAGCUCUAGAGGUUUUUGUAGAUUUUCAAAUAAAACUCAGAGAUUCUUGUAUGACUCUCUCAGAUCUCUCUUUUAUGGUAUUUAUGGAUCCUUACGAAGGCAGUGAUGAUAUAUGUCUUCUCUCAAAGUAUGUAGUAUUUGUGGUAUGAGGCAUAGUGAUAUUGCCUUCUCUCUCACCCUACUCUAAUAAGGUUUUGAUAUCUGGAGCUCAUAGGUGGGAGACAGAUAAUACAUACUUACAAGACAUUUAUUGUGUAGUCAAACCAUGGAUCCAGAAGAACAAGUCAAAGUCAAAUCAAGAUGUGUAUGUGUGGCGAGUGAAUGGUGUAUGGUAAUGAUGGUGAUAACAAUGGUGAAAGUCUAAUUCUACUUUUGCUCUUUUUAGGGGAUACAUACCUUUCUUGCACUUUGAAACUUUUUGAGGAGAAUGAGAUGCUCUAUAUUUUCUUUUUCUUUCCUCUCAGGUGGGUAUCUUGUACCCCUAAUUCUACUGUCGGACACUUGUCCAUUUUUACCUUUCGUCUCACUUUUUUUUUCUUUGAGGUUCCGGGCACUUGCCCCUUUUUAUUUCCUCGUAUAUUUUUUUUUCUUCUUUUUUUUAGAGCACUCAUCUCCUGAAAUAAUGUAGCAAGUGGUAGUAACCAAAAUAAUUGGAGCAUUUAUUUCACAGGGAAUAACAGGGAUACGAAAAUGUUUUUGGCUAUUCUCUCCCGGAUUAGGAGUAGAAUAAUUUUGGGUGAAUCUGGAGAUGGAAAUGAGUGGAUGUAUGUGGAUGCGUACUUCCGGAAUAGAAGCAGCAUAUACGAGUGAACAUGCAAGUGAAUCUUGAUUUUAACCACAUGACAAGCUCCUAAGGGUCUACACAGCUUGACCACACUCAAUGCUCAUAAGCAGUAAAAAGUAAAUAUAUGGUUCAUAGUCUAAUAAGCAUGUAUAUGUGGCUGUGGUAGGAUUUUAAACUCUCAUCAUACAGGAACUCAUCAUGUGUUAUUUUAAAGAUUUUCAAAGAUAAAAUUCUCCAGAAUUCUAGCAUCUCUAGAAACCUAUACAGCAGCUCAACCUUCCCAUAUCAUAUCCGUUAACGACUUAGACUUUAGAUCAAGUACUCUUCCCACAAGUUCAGGUUUAGAGCAAAUCUUAAUUCAUAACAGUUAUGCCUAAACCUAAGAGAGAUUUCAAUUCUAAGAACUAGUCAUGGCAGAGCAACUAUUCAUCAUUUCCAUGUGAGAGCUUAUCGUGUGGGUUCAUAGCAAACUUUAUUUAUUUAUUUAUUUAGCAAACUAAGCAAAGAUAUAUAUAAAAGCACAAAAUCUUUAUUUGGGUUUUUAUGAUUAUGCAUCUUUUUAUUAUUUGAGUAAAGUAUAAAUGCGAGUAGAAACACUUAGCUCGAUAAAUGGGGG